rnacentral:lncRNA from 1 species
GAGAUUGCUGCUCUUGAACGCACUGGUACCUGGGAUCUUGUUUCUCUUCCUCCCGGAGUCCGUCCCAUCACUUGUAAGUGGGUCUACAAGGUUAAGACUCGCUCCGAUGGUUCUCUUGAGCGUCACAAAGCUCGUCUCGUGGCUCGUGGUUUUCAGCAGGAGCAUGGUCGUGAUUAUGACGAGACUUUUGCUCCUGUGGCCCAUAUGACCACUAUUCGUACACUUCUUGCCGUUGCCUCUGCACGCCACUGGUCUAUAUCUCAGCUUGAUGUUAAGAAUGCCUUUCUUAAUGGUGAGCUGCGUGAGGAGGUGUACAUGCAGCCACCACCUGGGUAUUCUGUUCCUGAUGGCAUGGUGUGUCGUCUUCGUCGCUCUCUCUAUGGCCUUAAGCAAGCCCCUCGCGCCUGGUUUGAGCGUUUUGCCUCUGUGGUCACUACUGCUGGUUUUUCAGCAAGUGCUCAUGAUCCAGCAUUGUUUAUUCACCUUUCUCCUCGUGGCCGGACUCUUCUUCUUCUCUAUGUUGAUAAUAUGGUCAUCGCUGGGGAUGACCCCGAGUAUAUUGCCUUUGUAAAGGCCCGUCUUGGUGAGCAGUUUCUUAUGUCUGAUCUUGGACCUCUUCGCUACUUUCUUGGGAUUGAAGUCUCUUCUACCUCUGAUGGCUUUUUUAUAUCCCAGGAAAAGUAUAUCCAGGAUCUUCUUGCUCAUGCUGCUCUUACUGAUGAGCGCAUUGUUGAGACUCCUAUGGAGCUCAAUGUUCACCUCCGUGCUACUGAUGGUGAUCCUCUCCCUGACCCGACGCGUUAUCGUCAUCUUGUUGACAGUCUUGUCUAUCUAGCUGUCACUCGUCCGGACAUCUCUUAUCCGGUUCAUAUUCUGAGUCAGUUUGUCUCUGCUCCCACCUCGGUUCACUAUAGUCAUCUCCUUCGUGUUCUCCGAUAUCUUCGGGCCCCAACUCUCACCGUCUAUUCUUUCCUAGCUCCAGUUCUUUACAGCUUCAGGCCUAUGCGGAUGCUACGUGGGCUAGUGAUCCUUCUGAUCGCCGUUCACUUUCUGCUUACUGUGUUUUUCUUGGCGGUUCUCUCAUUGCCUGGAAGACGAAGAAACAGAUUGCAGUUUCCCGUUCGAGUGCUGAGGCUGAGUUGCGAGCCAUGGCUCUUUUGACGGCAGAGGUGACUUGGUUACGGUGGUUACUUCAGGAUUUUGGUGUUUCUGUCACUACACCGACUCUGCUCUUAUCUGACAGUACAGGUGCUAUUAGCAUUGCGCGCGAUCCUGUGAAGCAUGAGCUCACCAAGCAUAUUGGUGUUGAUGCUUUCUAUGUGCGCGCUGCUGUGCAGGAUCAGGUUAUUGCUAUUCAGUAUGUGCCUUCCGAGUUACAGUUGGCGGAUUUCCUGACGAAGGCCAGACUAGAGCACAACAUGGCUUUUAUCUCUCCAAACUCAGUGUUGUUCCUCCACCAUGAGUUUGAGGGGGGGGGGUGUUAGAGUUAUAAUAUAGGUCAUGUACCCCUUUGUAUUUAUCCCGUUGUAUAAGAGGUUUCCUGCAUAUGUUCCACAUCUGUACAUGUAUAUACACUGGUAGAAAAAAGCCCUUUAGUCCCGGUUCGCAACAGCCUUUAGUCCCGGCUGUGCAACCGGGACUAAAUAUGCGCGACUAAAGACCCCCCCCCUUUAGUCGCGCCUCUUACGGACCGCGACUAAAGGCUUUAGUCCCGGUUCUUGUGGCUGACCGGGACUAAAGGCCCGUCCACGUGGGCGCCAGUGGUCCGUCGGGGCGGAGGACCUUUAGUCCCGGUUCUCGUGGCCAACCGGGACUAAAGGCCUCCUCCGCAGGUUUAGGGUUUUAGCCCCCCUAAACCUGGUUUCUUUUUAGUUUGGAGUGUUUUAUUUCUUUUAUAUUUUAUUUUGUGUUUUAUUUUAAUUUUGAUAAAGUUUCAGUACACAUAUUCUACGCUACUAUAUACAUGCAUAUGAAAUUUCAAACAAGAAGAAUUCAAGAGGAAUAUAUAAUAUAUAUUCAAUCUCGGGUGACCAUAUACAACUUCGAACAAGUUUCCAUACACAAUUAGGAUGGAUGACCAUAUACAACUUCGAACAAGUUUCAAUCUCGGGUAUGCAUAUAAAUUUCUUCGUCCUCGGUAUAGUGUUCUCCUUUAGGAUUGAUGACUUCCCUCAUGAAAAAUCCUGCUAAUUCUUCUUGAAUUGGUCGGAAGCGAGCUUCUGGACUAAGCCUCCUCCGCAAGUUAUCCGUCGCGUUCCGCAUGCUAUCCGAUGCCUUCCGCUCAGAGGUGUGUCUCCGGAUGUUCUCACAAACAUAGUAUCCACAUAGAUUGGUCCCCGGUGGCUGCUUAUCCACAUUAACUAACCUUCUGAAAUCUAGCUCAUGUUUGAAUUCACCGACAAUUUCUUCUGAGAACCGUCUCCAAACCCUACAGGGCAAAGAAAAUUAAAUGAACAAGGGAGUUAUUAGUUACUUGAUAUUAGGAAAUGAACGAAAGAGACCGAUCGAUAUAGAGCUCAAAUGAUUGAAAAUAAUUACUUUUGCAGCAUUUUUCUCAUGUCGGCCCAACGCUUUGGAUCCGAAUCCAUAGAGUCCAUGAUUAGAACUCUGGAGGUGUGAAGUUCAAUAUUUAGCAAAAUCCAGUGGAACCUGCGGACACGUUACAUGCACAGUCAUGCAUAACUCAUCGAUUAGACAUACCAUGCAUGGAGUAAACAAAAGAGAAUGGGCACAAGAGAGAAACACUCACCCAAAAUGGUAAGGAAAUAGAAUAUGACUUUUGAGUUGAUGCUUUCUAAGAAACUUGUACAAGUCUUUCUCCACGUCUUCGGGGUGAUGUUGUAACACAUGUCCAUUAACGAUAUGUGGGUCAAUGAACCCAACAUCAUGGAUGUUUCUUAUUUUGCAUUCCCAAAUCUUCAAUCUGCAUAAUAGCGUACGCAACAAUAUAGUUAGGACAAUAUAUAUAUAUAGUGCAGGCAAUGAAGAACGAGAUGAGGUAGAAAUAAAUCACUUACAGAACGUAGCAACUCAGCAUAGAUUUGUCGAGGUCGUGCAGAUUGAACAGCUGGAACAAUUCACUCAUAUGAACUUCUACAGAGUACCGUUUGGUGUGAUGCUCAUCUGUAACAUCCGCAUAAAUAUAUUCUUUGUCGGCCCAUGUUAUGAAUUGCUUGUACCAACGUAGCAGAUUUCGCAUUUGUGGUGGUAGACUCUUUUCCCGCGCAGGCUCGACGAGAGGCCCAUUCCGCACAUAUUGUAAUGCUAUCUCACAUACUGGCGCAUCCUCAAGGCCUAAGAAGGCACGAAGAGUCAAACCCAUCUCGGACGCUUGUUUCAUGGCACUCGCUACAGUCAAUCCAAGUGCUGCCGCAGCUGCUAUGAUCUCGGGGUCCUCUUCCGGACCGGCUUUCACUAUGAGCGGGGGGAUCGAUUGUUUCUUCUGCAUCCCGAGCUGGUCAACUUGUUUCCCGCUUUUUUUACUUUCUUCUUUCUCCUCCUUCAAUAUUUUUGCUUGCCUACGAAGUUCAUGUCCAUAGUCGUCAGGCAUAAUCAGCUCGGCUUGGGACGGUGUCGUCAAAAAAUCCUUAGCCCACUUCUUUUGCUUCUCAGUGAAUACUUGCUUGGGCUCAGGCUCUUUUUUCGCCUUCAUAUCCGCCUUCCAUUUCUCAUAAUCAGCAGACGCGGCCAAUUUGGUUUCAGCUUCACUAAGUUCCCCAGGCCUUGGGAGGAGAGGCUUCAGUGAUGGCUCCGGUACCCUUGUGGUCUUAGGUACAUAAGGGUCCGGGUUAAUAGUCCAGGAGCGGGUUUCCUUGCUGUCCGCCUGCUUCUGCUUCUUCGCCGGAGGUGGAUUGGGGGGCGUCGUACCCGCCGGAGGAGGAUUGGGGGGCGUCGUACCCGCCGGAGGUUGUGGAUCGGGGGACGGCGUCGAAUGGCGUGAAGGAGGUGUAGGUGAACCACCACGACCACCACCACCGCCACCACCGCCACCACCACCACCACCACCACCAUCGAAGGGGGGUGGACUUGCUAGCCUUGGCGCCUCGCCUGGAAACACUAUGUACUUCUUUUUCCAUAGAAUGAACUGGCGCUUGACAUCUCCAAGUCUUCUCUCCCCUUCGGGUGUAGGUUUGUCAGGUCCUCAAACCCUUGGACUAUGUCUUCCACCGUGACACGAGCAUAGCCAUAUGCAAUGGGGUUGUUGUGGUGGAGUGCUCCAGGUGUACAGGGUAAAGCACUGCCGCUAGCUACCUUCGUGGAAACGUUCCUCACGGGAUAAUGCAGAUCACAUUCUUUCAUCUCCUUUACAUCAUCCACGGGGUAGUGAGGCUCCGGUGCACGAAUCUCGAUCAUCGGUGCACUAGCACCAGGCGGGGCAUCCGUGGAAGCCACGCUGCUUCUCCGCUGCUGGCUUCCGCGAUCCGCUUCAUGAUCUUCAUGCGGCCCUGCAGCCGAUUUUUCAUUCACUAGUUCAUGCACGGUCUGCUUCAACUCAUGGAGUUCCGAUGCAAACUUCGUCAUAAGAUCUGCAUCCCGGUCCGUCUUUCUCUUACGGCUUCUGUAACAGUACGGGUCAUUGUCCUGGGAAAACCCUACUUUCCACGGAACUUUGCCUUUGCCUCGUACACGUCCUCCGUGUUCAUCAUUCCCGAGGGCUGUUGUCAGUGCGUCUUUCUCUCUGUUGAACUUGAUCAAGCCCUCUUGAGCUUGGGUCAUUGCGUCAAUAAGGGCUUGGGUGGGAGCAAACUGUCUCUGCCGGUGAACACACACCCCUGUCUCCGGGUCUAGCGAUCCCCCAUGCCCGUACCACCAGCUUUUGGCCCUUGGGUCCCAUCCCUCUGUACCUAGAGGGAUUCCUCGCACCCUCAGGUCCUCCUCCAUCUUCUGCCACCUAGGCUCCGAAAGGCGGUAUCCUCCUGGCCCCAUAAUAUGAUNNNNNNNNNNNNNNNNNNNNNNNNNNNNNNNNNNNNNNNNNNNNNNNNNNNNNNNNNNNNNNNNNNNNNNNNNNNNNNNNNNNNNNNNNNNNNNNNNNNNNNNNNNNNNNNNNNNNNNNNNNNNNNNNNNNNNNNNNNNNNNNNNNNNNNNNNNNNNNNNNNNNNNNNNNNNNNNNNNNNNNNNNNNNNNNNNNNNNNNNNNNNNNNNNNNNNNNNNNNNNNNNNNNNNNNNNNNNNNNNNNNNNNNNNNNNNNNNNNNNNNNNNNNNNNNNNNNNNNNNNNNNNNNNNNNNNNNNNNNNNNNNNNNNNNNNNNNNNNNNNNNNNNNNNNNNNNNNNNNNNNNNNNNNNNNNNNNNNNNNNNNNNNNNNNNNNNNNNNNNNNNNNNNNNNNNNNNNNNNNNNNNNNNNNNNNNNNNNNNNNNNNNNNNNNNNNNNNNNNNNNNNNNNNNNNNNNNNNNNNNNNNNNNNNNNNNNNNNNNNNNNNNNNNNNNNNNNNNNNNNNNNNNNNNNNNNNNNNNNNNNNNNNNNNNNNNNNNNNNNNNNNNNNNNNNNNNNNNNNNNNNNNNNNNNNNNNNNNNNNNNNNNNNNNNNNNNNNNNNNNNNNNNNNNNNNNNNNNNNNNNNNNNNNNNNNNNNNNNNNNNNNNNNNNNNNNNNNNNNNNNNNNNNNNNNNNNNNNNNNNNNNNNNNNNNNNNNNNNNNNNNNNNNNNNNNNNNNNNNNNNNNNNNNNNNNNNNNNNNNNNNNNNNNNNNNNNNNNNNNNNNNNNNNNNNNNNNNNNNNNNNNNNNNNNNNNNNNNNNNNNNNNNNNNNNNNNNNNNNNNNNNNNNNNNNNNNNNNNNNNNNNNNNNNNNNNNNNNNNNNNNNNNNNNNNNNNNNNNNNNNNNNNNNNNNNNNNNNNNNNNNNNNNNNNNNNNNNNNNNNNNNNNNNNNNNNNNNNNNNNNNNNNNNNNNNNNNNNNNNNNNNNNNNNNNNNNNNNNNNNNNNNNNNNNNNNNNNNNNNNNNNNNNNNNNNNNNNNNNNNNNNNNNNNNNNNNNNNNNNNNNNNNNNNNNNNNNNNNNNNNNNNNNNNNNNNNNNNNNNNNNNNNNNNNNNNNNNNNNNNNNNNNNNNNNNNNNNNNNNNNNNNNNNNNNNNNNNNNNNNNNNNNNNNNNNNNNNNNNNNNNNNNNNNNNNNNNNNNNNNNNNNNNNNNNNNNNNNNNNNNNNNNNNNNNNNNNNNNNNNNNNNNNNNNNNNNNNNNNNNNNNNNNNNNNNNNNNNNNNNNNNNNNNNNNNNNNNNNNNNNNNNNNNNNNNNNNNNNNNNNNNNNNNNNNNNNNNNNNNNNNNNNNNNNNNNNNNNNNNNNNNNNNNNNNNNNNNNNNNNNNNNNNNNNNNNNNNNNNNNNNNNNNNNNNNNNNNNNNNNNNNNNNNNNNNNNNNNNNNNNNNNNNNNNNNNNNNNNNNNNNNNNNNNNNNNNNNNNNNNNNNNNNNNNNNNNNNNNNNNNNNNNNNNNNNNNNNNNNNNNNNNNNNNNNNNNNNNNNNNNNNNNNNNNNNNNNNNNNNNNNNNNNNNNNNNNNNNNNNNNNNNNNNNNNNNNNNNNNNNNNNNNNNNNNNNNNNNNNNNNNNNNNNNNNNNNNNNNNNNNNNNNNNNNNNNNNNNNNNNNNNNNNNNNNNNNNNNNNNNNNNNNNNNNNNNNNNNNNNNNNNNNNNNNNNNNNNNNNNNNNNNNNNNNNNNNNNNNNNNNNNNNNNNNNNNNNNNNNNNNNNNNNNNNNNNNNNNNNNNNNNNNNNNNNNNNNNNNNNNNNNNNNNNNNNNNNNNNNNNNNNNNNNNNNNNNNNNNNNNNNNNNNNNNNNNNNNNNNNNNNNNNNNNNNNNNNNNNNNNNNNNNNNNNNNNNNNNNNNNNNNNNNNNNNNNNNNNNNNNNNNNNNNNNNNNNNNNNNNNNNNNNNNNNNNNNNNNNNNNNNNNNNNNNNNNNNNNNNNNNNNNNNNNNNNNNNNNNNNNNNNNNNNNNNNNNNNNNNNNNNNNNNNNNNNNNNNNNNNNNNNNNNNNNNNNNNNNNNNNNNNNNNNNNNNNNNNNNNNNNNNNNNNNNNNNNNNNNNNNNNNNNNNNNNNNNNNNNNNNNNNNNNNNNNNNNNNNNNNNNNNNNNNNNNNNNNNNNNNNNNNNNNNNNNNNNNNNNNNNNNNNNNNNNNNNNNNNNNNNNNNNNNNNNNNNNNNNNNNNNNNNNNNNNNNNNNNNNNNNNNNNNNNNNNNNNNNNNNNNNNNNNNNNNNNNNNNNNNNNNNNNNNNNNNNNNNNNNNNNNNNNNNNNNNNNNNNNNNNNNNNNNNNNNNNNNNNNNNNNNNNNNNNNNNNNNNNNNNNNNNNNNNNNNNNNNNNNNNNNNNNNNNNNNNNNNNNNNNNNNNNNNNNNNNNNNNNNNNNNNNNNNNNNNNNNNNNNNNNNNNNNNNNNNNNNNNNNNNNNNNNNNNNNNNNNNNNNNNNNNNNNNNNNNNNNNNNNNNNNNNNNNNNNNNNNNNNNNNNNNNNNNNNNNNNNNNNNNNNNNNNNNNNNNNNNNNNNNNNNNNNNNNNNNNNNNNNNNNNNNNNNNNNNNNNNNNNNNNNNNNNNNNNNNNNNNNNNNNNNNNNNNNNNNNNNNNNNNNNNNNNNNNNNNNNNNNNNNNNNNNNNNNNNNNNNNNNNNNNNNNNNNNNNNNNNNNNNNNNNNNNNNNNNNNNNNNNNNNNNNNNNNNNNNNNNNNNNNNNNNNNNNNNNNNNNNNNNNNNNNNNNNNNNNNNNNNNNNNNNNNNNNNNNNNNNNNNNNNNNNNNNNNNNNNNNNNNNNNNNNNNNNNNNNNNNNNNNNNNNNNNNNNNNNNNNNNNNNNNNNNGUCGAUCGGCGUCGGGGCAGGGCUUCGGCGUCGAGAGAGAGGAGAAUGGGAAGUGGCGAAACUGCUAAGUGCAGUAUAUAUAGACGUACCUUUAGUCCCGGUUGGGGAGGCGGACCGGGACUAAAGGGUUUUGGCGCCGCUUUCGUUCCCGCGCAGAAAGACCCUUUAGUCGCGGUUGGGGACAACAACCGCGACUAAAGGGUACCCUUUAGUCGCGGUCCGCCUCCCCAACCGGGAGUAAAGGCAUUGUGCUGGAACUGGCGCGGUGCGGUGGGAUGUUUAGUCCCACCUCGCUAGCCGAGAGGCUUCGACAGUGGUUUAUAAGCGCGGCUGCGCUGACCACUUCGAGCUCCUCUCAAAUGCAGGCUUACGGGCCUAUUCUGUUACUAUGUGCCUGUGGGCCUACUGGGCCUUCUGCAGGCCUGAAUCCUGGCCCAUUGAUGGGUUUCUAGUCGUAUUCAGGCCGUGGUGGCCCAGUAGGUGGCAUAUUUUUUAUUUUUUGCCUGUUUUUUGUUUUCUUUUUUGCUUUAUUUAUUUUGUUUUGUUUCUACUUACAACAAAAAACUUAUUUAUUUUAUUUUAUUUUGUUUCUAAUUACUUAUUUAUUUUACUUUAUGAUAAUUAUUUUUGCUAUUAAAGUUUCUAACAAAAAAAGUUCUUUAUGAAAAUUCUUUUAGCUUUAUUUUUACUUAUCUAUUUUGUUUGUACUUUAUGAUAAUUAUUUUUACUUAUUUAUUUUGUUUGUACUUAUAUAUUUUGAAAAAUCUUAAAAAUACAAUUAUAUAUCAAAAAAAUCAGAAAAAUAAAACUAAUUCAUUUUAAAAUCCCUUGAAGGUUUGACAAAAGGUUUGAUACAUCAUUCAGUUCAUCGACCAAAUACAAAGUUUGGUACAAUAAAUUAUUACACAUCAAUUCUUCCCUUGUGUCCCUGCUUGCUUACGAUUGUGCCGUAUCCAUGGAGCAUCCUCAUCAUUUAACUUAAUGCUUGGGUCAGUGUUUACUUUGAAGGGCGGAAUUUCACCAAACAUAUUAUAAUCUUCUGACAUGUCUGUCUUGUCCUCCACUCCCACGAUGUUUCUUUUCCCUGAAAGAACAAUGUGGCGCUUUGGAUCAUCGCAUGUGUACUGAUCGUUUUCUUAUCUUUCCGUUUCCUCGGUUUGCUACUCAUGUCCUUCAAAUAAAAAACCUGAGCAACAUCUUUGGCAAGGACGAAUGGUUCGUCAAGGUAACCAAGAUUGUUGAAAUCCACCAUUGUCAUUCCGUAUUGCUCGUCCACCUUUACCCCACCUCCUGUUAGCUUGAACCAUUUGCACCGGAACAAAGGGACCUUAAAGGAGGGUCCAUAGUCAAGUUCCCAUAUCUCCUCUAUGUAACCAUAAUAUGUGACCUUUCGCCCAUUCUCGGUUGCUGCAUCAAAGCGGACACCACUGUUUUGGUUGGUGCUCUUUUUAUCUUGGGCGAUGGUGUAAAAUGUAUUCCCAUUUAUCUCGUACCCUUGGAAAAUCGUUAUAGUCGAAGAUGGUUUCUUGGCCAACAUGUACAGCUGAUCUCCAACAUCAUUGUCAUUCAUUAAAUGUUUUCGCAACCAACUGCCGAAAGUCUCCAUGUGGGCCUUUCUAAUCCAGGAUUCAGGCUUCCCCGGGUUGUCCGAGUGUAAAAUAUUCUUGUGUUGCUCGAAGUACGGAGCCACAAAGCUGGAAUUUUGCAGAACUGUGUGGUGUGCUUCAGUCAUAGAAUGACCGUCCAUACAUAUCGUGGAUUUCCUUCCGAUCUUGCCUUUUCCACUUAGUCUCCCCUCGUGCCGCGAUUGAGGAAUACCAAUCGGCUUAAGGUCAGGAACAUAGUCAAUACAGAACUCAAUUACCUCCUCAUUUCCAUAGCCCUUGACGAUGCUUCCUUCUGGCCUAGCACGGUUACGAACAUAUUUCUUUAAUACUCCCAUGAACCUCUCAAAGGGGAACAUAUUGUGUAGAAAUACAGGACCGAGAAUGGAAAUCUCUUCGACUAGGUGGAGCAGGAGGUGCGUCAUAAUAUCGAAGAAGGAUGGUGGGAACACCAACUCGAAACUGACAAGGCAUUGGACCAUCGUUCUGUAACCGUGGUAGAUCUUCUGGAUUGAUUACCUUCUGAGAGAUUGCAUUGAGGAAUGCACAUAGCUUCACAAUGGCUACUCGAACAUUUUCCGGUAGGAGCCCCCUCAAAGCAAUCGGAAGCAAUUGCGUCAUAAUCAGUGGCAGUCGUGAGACUUCAGGUUUUGGAACUUUUUCUCCGCCAUGUUUAUUAUUCCCUUUAUAUUCGACGAGAAGCCAGACGGGACCUUCAUACUGCUCAGGCAUUCAAAAAAAAUGACCUUCUCUUCUUUGGUAAGAGCGUAGCUGGCACGACCUUGAAACCAUUCCGGAUGCCGGUCAUCUGGGUCUUUCAAAAGUUGCUGGUCCUGCCGUGCUUCCUUUGUAUCAUUUGUCUUCCCAUACACGCCCAAGAAGCUUAGCAGGUUCACGCAAAUAUUCUUCGUAACAUGCAUCACGUCGACUGCAGAGCAGACAUCUAGGACUUCCCAAUAUUCUAGCUCCCAAAAUAUAGAUUUCUUCUUCCACAUGGGUGCGUGCCCGUCAACUCCCCGCGGAACUGAUUGUCCGCCAGGACCCUUUCCAAAGAUGACUUUCAAAUCCUUGACCAUAUCAAAUAUCUCAGCACCAGUACGUUCCGCAGGCUUCGGCCGGUGAUCUGCCUUGCCGUUGAAAUGCUUGCCUUUCUUUCUUACGUUAUGAUUUCGGGGAAGAAAUCAACGAUGACCUAGGUACACGUUCUUCUUACAAUUAACCAAACGUACACUUUCAGUCUCAUCUAAGCAGUGCGUGCAUGCAUUGUAUCCCUUAUUUGUCUGUCCUGAAAGGUUACUGAGAGCAGGCCAAUCGUUGAUGGUUACAAAAAGCAACGCUCGUAGGUCAAAUUCCUCUCCUUUGUGCUCAUCCCAGACACGUACACCAGGUCUGGCCCACAACUGUAAAAGUUCAUCAACUAAUGGCCUUAGGUACACAUCGAUGUCGUUCCCGGGUUGCUUUGGACCUUGGAUGAGCACUGGCAUCAUAAUGAACUUCCGCUUCAUGCACAACCAAGGAGGAAGGUUGUAGAUGCAUAGAGUCACGGGAUAGGUGCUAUGGCUGGAGCUCUGCUCGCCAAAAGGAUUCAUGCCAUCAGUACUUAGCCCAAAUCUUAUGUUCCUUGCGUCAGCUGCAAAAUCUUUGAACACUCUGUCGAUCUUUCUCCAUUGCGUUCCAUCAGCGGGGUGUCUCAACUCCCCGUCGGACUUACGGUCCUCUUUGUGCCAUCGCAACGACUUGGCAUGCUUUUUGUUCAUGAACAGACGUUUCAACCGUGGUAUUAUAGGAGCAUACCACAUCACCUUGGCGGGAACCCUCUUCCUGGGUUUCUCGCCCUCAACAUCGUCACCAAGGUCAUCGCCUCUGAUCUUAUAACGCAAUGCAGUGCAUACAGGGCAUUCAUUCAAAUUCUCGUAUUCACCGCGGUAGAGGAUGCAGUCGUUAAUGCAUGCAUGUAUCUUCAGAACCUCUAAACCUAGAGGGCAGACUACCUUCUUUGCUUCGUACGUACUGGCGGGCAACUCGUUAUUCUUCGGAAACAUAUUCUUCAACAUUUUCAGCAAAUUUUCAAAUGAUGAGUCACCUACACCUUCCUGUGCCUUCCAUUUUAGCAAAUCCAGUGUGCAGCCCAGCUUUUUCAGACUAUUAUCGCAUCCUGGAUACAACGACUUUUUGUAAUCCUCUAACAUGCGAUCCAAAUUCUCCCUAUCCUUGUCAGUUUCGCAGCGUCUCCGUGCAUCAGCAAUGGUCCGACCAAGAUCAUCAGCGGGCUCAUCAUGUGCCUCUUCUUCACCUUCACCUAACCCUUCCCCACCUUCAGCAUCAUCCUCCAUGAAAGUAUCACCGAAAUGAUCAUGAUAGUUGUCAUCGAUAUCAUCCCCUUCUUCAUCUUCUUCCAUUCUAACCCCUCUUUCUCCAUGCUUGGUCCAACAAUUAUAGCUUGGCAUGAAACCGUGCCGAAGCAGGUGCAUGUGAACGUCUCUUGAGGAGGAGUAACCCUUCUGAUUCUUACAGACAGCACAUGGACAGAUAAUAAAACCUUGCUGCUUGUUCGCAUUUGCCACUACGAGGAAAUCUUUCAAACCCGUAGUGAACUCGCCGGAGAGUCGGGGACCGUACAUCCAUUGCCGAUUCAUCUGCAUUAUUAUUAUAUAAAGUAUAUAAUUAACCAUCAUGCAUUUGUUAAACUAACUAGCUAGAAAUAAUACAAAUUAAACAAUGAACUACACACAUGCAUAUUUUAUCAAUGACACAUGAAAGGUUCAAGUUGCUAACCGCGAUCGCGGAGGAAAAAUAAAUGAGAAAGCUCAAGUGUGGCUUGGACACUUCAUAUCAUGUUUGUUUCAGGCUCUCAGGCAUUUCAUCGAACACCUUGUGUGCAUAGGAGGAACCAAAAGCAAACCCACCACCCCCUUCUGAAAAUUGUGAAGUGAGCUGAGUGAAGUGAAGUGAGCUGAGUCCUAUAUAUAGGGAUGGGCCUUUAGUCCCGGUUGGCCUGGCCAACUGCGACUAAAGGCUUUCGGGAACCUUUAGUCCCGGUUGGCCAGGCCAACCGGGACUAAAGCCCCUCCCGUCCGCCAGCUGGAUGGGCCUUUAGUCCCGGUUGGCCUGGCCAACCGCGACUAAAGGCCUUCGGGGACCUUUAGUCCCGGUUGGCCAGGCCAACCGGGACUAAAGCCCCUCCCGUCCGCCAGCUGUCGACCGAGCGCGCUGGGCCCAGAUAGUUGGUCGCGGGUCUCCUCCCGAACCGCGACUAAAGACCCCUUUUGUCGCGGUUCGAUUAUUUUGGGGACUAAUGGGGGCGUAUGGAAGCCUAUUUUUCUACUAGUGAUAUAUCGGCCUAUGGCCUCAUGGGAAUACAAGUUGCUUAUUCCUAACACUUUACACCGUCACCGUGGCAAUGCCCACACAAAUUGGAGACAUGACAGAAUUGCAGGUGGUAUCUCAUAUUGCUGGCGACGGCAGUGAACUAAAAUAUCUUGGCUACUUACUCCAGUUGAUUAAGUUGGGUGUGGUUGUCUCUGGAAGUAAAACAUCAUUAGUCUUGAGGCAUUUGUACUAUGCAACUGGAAAUCUUGGAUUUCUUCGCUCACUGUCAAUCCAUUUCGCAGAAACCGAAGAAGAGAAUGAGAAUGUGGACAAGAAAGAUCCAUCCCCAAGAUAUCCAAAGUAUCUUCAUAAGCUAAAAAUCAGUGGCCUGAAAAAUGGAUUGCCGUCAUGGAUUGAAAAACUCAAGGCACUUACCAAAAUGACCCUGCAUAUGGCUUUAAUAACAGAAGAUGACUUCAAAAUCCUUGGUCUGCUCACAAGCUUGUCCUGGCUUAGGCUCCGAGCAGAGUCAUGCAAUGAAAGUACAGUCACCUUCAAAAAAGGUGCAUUUCAGAGUCUUGAGUUCCUUGACAUUGAGCGCUCAGCCAUUACCGGUAUCAACUUUGACAAUGAGGCCUGUCCUAAGCUGAAGAACAUAGCCUGGUCUUCUACUGGUGAACAAUCUCUUUCAGGGAUUGAGCGCCUCCCAAGCCUCGAAAAGCUCGAGUUGACAGGCAGCUUUGAUGUGGAAGGUGUGAAACAAGCAAUUGAAGCAAGCAAGAACUAUAUUAUGUUGGAAUCAUACCCUACCAGGACCAGGUCCGGGGUGUGAUCCACAUUUGCUCCUUGAGUGACCUCACCGGAUGCCUUAAUGCUGCUCUUAUUAUGGGGCAGAAAUGUAUCUCAAGAAAAUAAUUUCAUUCUUCGCGGAUUAUUGCCAUCAAAUUCAGCCCCUGCAUAUUUGAUUUAUUUUGUCGUGCACUGCAGUGACUGAACCGUUGUGUGUAUUUGUUGAGGUCACUCUCAGAUUUCAGUUAUGUGCUGUGUUGUGUCGUGCACGUGUGCUAUUGUUUGCAUUUGUUCACCCAGAAACAUGUAUUUCCUUGAAUAAAAAUCAAGUGUUGUUGCUCUUGUGCGUACAAGGACAAGUACUAGCAUUGUUGUAUUAGGGUGAGUGAUAGCUGACAUCCUAUUGAUGGGCAAAUGUACUACUAUUUGAUUUGUGCAGUUCAGAAUGCCUGCGUCGUUAAUAUGGUUCUAUACCUGCUUCAUCCAAGCAAUAUUCCCCAAUUUGAAUUAAAUCGCUGAAAUUCCAAGCAAAGUUGUGGUUAUAUACACUGUAUCUGUAUGUGUCAAGAAGUGUUAACUGAAGGAGAUCAUGCAUGGUAUUCAGAUAUUGGAAGGUUUGCAAGUUGACACUCUGCUCGAAAAAGGAACCGCACACCACAUCCAUCUCCAGUCAAGAAACUAAAACUAAACUGAAAUUGGAAAGCAUGUACUGUAAUUCUUAUUUUUUUAGCAGGAGAAAAGCAUGUAAUUCUCUCACCUGUGUCAACAACAACCUAGAGACUGAAGGCCAGAUUCCUUAUCCCUUUGAUUGCAUUAUUAGUGGCCGCGGUCUUCUCCAGAGGACGCCCAAAUCGGCUGGCCGGCAGCCCCCCGCCGUGGCUUUGCGGUCGAGGUUUGCGCCCGGCCGGCCGUCCUCCCCUCGCCCUCAGCCCCGGCGCCAGGGGACCCGCGCCCGCCGAGGUCGACGCACAUGGGGGAUGCCGCCACGGCAAGGAGCACUUUCUGUCUCCUCCGGCGAGCCGCUACCUCUCCGCCGCCCAGCCGACCGCGCCUCCGGCCGGAGCCCGCCUCUACCGCCGCCAGCCAGCCGUCGCGAGAAGUGUCGUGUGGCCCUCAGCCCGUCACCGAGGAAAAACGAAAGGAAAAAAAAAGUGAGGCACGCAAGUGUGGGCUCCAUUUGUCAGAGACCGUGUAAAGAAAUCGAGACCGCAAUCCUUUCACUUGACCAACACAACUACUACGCCCUAAGAACAUCUCCGACACUUCUCAAAAAAAAAAAAAAAGAACAUCUCCAACAGGCGUGCUAAACAAGCGCCGCACCGCAAAUUUACCCAUUUUAGCGCGCGCGCAAUCGCUAAUUUGUCUCCAGCGGGCGCACAAUAACCGCGCGCGCGGCAUAUAGAGUUGGGUGCGCGGUCCGAAUCGCUAUCGCGCGCUGCGUAUUUGGGGCGCCCGCUUCCGCGCGUGGCACACACGAGCGCUCGCGCCGCACUCUCUCCCCCGCGCCACCUUCGCCUCGCACGCUCCGGCGCCGGCGAGCUGACGCGAUGGACCCACGCGCCGGCACUCCCCUCACCCAUCCUACAGCCGCGAACCCUCCAGCGCCGCCGCCGCCGCCGCAAACCCUAGCGCUGCGAGCGUUGGCCACGCCUCCGCCGGAGCUCCUCCGAGCAUCGGCCUUGCACGCGGCCUCUUCAUGCCGCCGCGGAUGACCUCGGCGGCUGGUGGCGUCGCGCCGGCGCCCACCUCGACGGCUCCGGCACCUCGAAGCUCCCAAAUGCGCCGCGGCCGAAGAAGGGCAAGACAUCCGCGAAGAAGAAGAAGGCGGCGGACGGCUCCGGCACCUCGAAGGCGCCGAGGAAGAAGCUUGCAGGGCAUGUGACGAGCGCGGCGGCUACCGAAGCGCCGGCGAGCUCACUUGUUGAGCCAGCGGCCGACGCGCACCAUGUGUUCGACGAUAUGCCCCAAAGGUAAAAAAAUUCCCGAACUUUUUUUUCUUCUUUAUUUUUUGAAUGCAUACAUAUAGAUAGCUUAUUGCGUUGUUCUAUAUACUUUGUAGUGUGAACGAUGAUGCAUACAUGUCAACUAUGGGUGUUGGCUCGAACAAUUCGCAUUGGUCUCAAACCAAUGACAUGCAUUUUGAAGACCAUGAGUUCGAGGUGGACGAGGAUGGUGAGGGCAUUGUCGACGCACCGAAAGGAAGAGCGGGCAGUUACACCAACGCCGAAGACAUCUUACUAUACAAUACUUGGUUGCAAGUGUCGAGGGAUCCAUCCGUUGGAGGUGAUCAAAGUAGAGACGCUUAUUGACUCCGGAUGAAAGAACACUUUGAUCUUCGCAACAUGAGUGGAAUUUACCGCUCCGCACGAUCACUUCGCUCCCGGUGGUCGACCAUCAAUAGGGAUUGUCAACAAUGGUCGGCCGCACAAAAAGCGGUUGACAAGUUGAACCCAAGUGGCACCAAUGAUGAUGAUAGGGUAAGUUUGGUUUCAUCAUCCCUCAUGUUCACAUCUCAUGCUUGUUGUUGGUGUUUCUUGUGCUAACUUGUUUUGUUUUCAUGUAGUUGAACAUUACCCAAAACUUGUUCAAAGGAGAGGAGAAGAGGACCAAGAAGGGGAAGAUCAAGAAAGGAAGGCCAUUUACCUUGCCUCAUUGCUAUGAAGUAUUGAAGGAUGAUGAGAAAUGGAAGAAGUGUGAGGAUAUUGAUGAUUUGGAUUUGAGCAAAAAAACGCAAGCGAACAAUUGAGUUGGAAGAUGAUGAUGAGGAUGAUGCAUCAAGUGAAGAUGGAAAGAGAAGCCCCACCCCAAACUCGGUUCCAUACUCGAAGCCAAAACGACCGGAUGACACGAAGAAAGACAAAGAAAAGAAGAAGAGGAAAGGAGAUGAUGAGAUCAAAAAUGGCAAGGAACCAAGAUGCCGCGGCCGAGGAGAGGAGGGUGGCCGCCGAGGAGAGGAAAGUGGCAUUGGAGGAGAGGAAGAUGGCCAUGGAGGAGCGAGCUAAGUUGUUGGAAUGGGAGAAGCACUUGUUCUUCUUGGACACAUCUUUGUUCAAUGAUGCACAAAAGGAGUAUGUCAACCUUGCCCGUGAGGAAGUCUUGAUCCAAAAAAGAGUCAUGAUUGGCGGCAUGGGUGGCGGUGGCCUUGGCGACAUGGGUGGCGGUGGCGGCAUGGGUGGUGGUGGCCUUGGCGGCAUGGGUGCCGGUGGCCUUGGCGGCAUGGGUUCCAUGGGUGGCUUUGGAGCUACCAUGGGCGCAUGGGUUCCAUGGGUGGCUUUCGAGCUACCAUGGAGACCAUGAGAGGCAUGGGUGGCUUUGGAGCACCUCCGGGUGGCUUGGACGGCAUGGGUGGCAUGAGUUUUGCGUCUCUCAUUGGGGGCAUGGGUGCAUCUCCGGGCGCCGGUGUGCCACCUUCGCAUGAAGAUGCUGUUCAAGAUCUUGUCAACACCAUCCGAGCUUCACGCGAUGAAGAUACGGCACGCAAAAAUGAAGAGGAGGAGGAAGAAUCGUCUUCGGAGGAAGAUGAUGAAGACGAAGACGAGGACUGAUACGUCUCCAACGUAUCUAUAAUUUAUGAAGCAUUCAUGCUAUUAUAUUAUCUAUUUUGGAUGUUUACGGGCUUUAUUAUACACUUUUAUAUUAAUUUUGGGACUAACCUAUUAGCCGGAGGCCCAACCCAUAUUGCUGUUUUCUUGCCUAUUUCAGUGUUUCGAAGAAAAGGAAUAUCGAACGGAGUCCAAACGGAAUGAAACCUUCGGGAGCGUGAUUUUUGGAACGAACGUGAUCCAGGAGACUUGGAGUUGAAGUCAAGGAAGCUUCGAGGUGGCCACGAGGGUGGGCCACGCCCCCCUACUGGGCGCGCCCCCUGUCUCGUGGGUCCCUAGUGGCUCCCCUGACCGGCUUCUUUCGCCUAUAUAAGUCCAUAUACCCUAAAAACAUCGAGGAAGACAAUAGAUCGGGAGUUCCGCCGCCGCAAGCCUCUGUAGCCACCAAAAACCAAUCGGGACCCUGUUCCGGCACCCUGCCGGAGGGGGAUCCCUCACCGGUGGCCAUCUUCAUCAUCCCGGCGCUCUCCAUGAUGAGGAGGGAGUAGUUCACCCUCGGGGCUGAGGGUAUGUACCAGUAGCUAUGUGUUUGAUCUCUCUCUCUCUCUCUCUCUCUCUCUCUCUCGUGUUCUUGACUUCGCACGAUCUUGAUGUAUCGCGAGCUUUGCAAUUAUAGUUGGAUCUUAUGAUGUGCCACCUUCGCAUGAAGAUGCUGUUCAAGAUCUUGUCAACACCAUCCGAGCUUCACGCGAUGAAGAUACGGCACGCAAAAAUGAAGAGGAGGAGGAAGAAUCGUCUUCGGAGGAAGAUGAUGAAGACGAAGACGAGGACUGAUACGUCUCCAACGUAUCUAUAAUUUAUGAAGCAUUCAUGCUAUUAUAUUAUCUAUUUUGGAUGUUUACGGGCUUUAUUAUACACUUUUAUAUUAAUUUUGGGACUAACCUAUUAGCCGGAGGCCCAACCCAUAUUGCUGUUUUCUUGCCUAUUUCAGUGUUUCAAAGAAAAGGAAUAUCGAACGGAGUCCAAACGGAAUGAAACCUUCGGGAGCGUGAUUUUUGGAACGAACGUGAUCCAGGAGACUUGGAGUUGAAGUCAAGGAAGCUUCGAGGUGGCCACGAGGGUGGGCCACGCCCCCCUACUGGGCGCGCCCCCUGUCUCGUGGGUCCCUCGUGGCUCCCCUGACCGGCUUCUUUCGCCUAUAUAAGUCCAUAUACCCUAAAAACAUCGAGGAAGACAAUAGAUCGGGAGUUCCGCCGCCGCAAGCCUCUGUAGCCACCAAAAACCAAUCGGGACAAUGUUCCGGCACCCUGCCGGAGGGGGAUCCCUCACCGGUGGCCAUCUUCAUCAUCCCGGCGCUCUCCAUGAUGAGGAGGGAGUAGUUCACCCUCGGGGCUGAGGGUAUGUACCAGUAGCUAUGUGUUUGAUCUCUCUCUCUCUCUCUCUCUCUCUCUCUCUCUCUCUCUCGUGUUCUUGACUUCGCACGAUCUUGAUGUAUCGCGAGCUUUGCUAUUAUAGUUGGAUCUUAUGAUGUUUCUCCCCCCUCUACUCUCUUGUAAUGGAUUGAGUUUUCCCUUUGAAGUUAUCUUAUCGGAUUGAGUCUUUAAGGGUUUGAGAACACUUGAUGUAUGUCUUGCCGUGCUUAUCUGUGGUGACAAUGGGAUAUCACGUGAUCCACUUGAUGUAUGAUUUGGUGAUCAACUUGCGGGUUCCGCCCAUGAACCUAUGCAUAGGGGUUGGCACACGUUUUCGUCUUGCCUCUCCGGUAGAAACUUUGGGGUACUCUUUGAAGUAUUUUCUGUUGGUUGAAUAGAUGAAUAUGAGAUUGUGUGAUGCAUAUCGUAUAAUCAUACCCACGGAUACUUGAGGUGACAAUGGAGUAUCUAGGUGACAUUAGGGUUUUGGUUGAUUUGUGUCUUAAGGUGUUAUUCUAGUAUGAACUCUAUGAUAGAUUGAACGGAAAGAAUAGCUUCCUGUGAUUUUACUACGGACUCUUGAAUAGAUCGAGCAGAAAGAAUAACUUUGAGGUGGUUUCGUACCCUACCAUAAUCUCUUCGUUUGUUCUCCGCUAUUAGUGACUUUGGAGUGACUCUUUGUUGCAUGUUGAGGGAUAGUUAUAUGAUCCAAUUAUGUUAUUACUGUUGAGAGAACUUGCACUAGUGAAAGUAUGAACUCUAGGCCUUGUUUCCUAGCAUUGCAAUACCGUUUACGCUCACUUCUAUCAUUAGUUACCUUGCUGUUUUUAUAUUUUCAGAUUACAAAAACCUAUAUCUACCAUCCAUAUUGCACUUGUAUUGGGUGUGUUGGGGACACAAGAGACUCUUUGUUAUUUGGUUGCAGGGUUGUUUGAGAGAGACCAUCUUCAUCCUACACCUCCCACGGAUUGAUAAACCUUAGGUCAUCCACUUGAGGGAAAUUUGCUACUGUCCUACAAACCUCUGCACUUGGAGGCCCAACAACGUCUACAAGAAGAAGGUUGUGUAGUAUACAUCAAGCUCUUUUCUGGCGCCGUUGCCGGGGAGGUGAGUGCUUGAAGGUAUAUCUUUAGAUCUUGCAAUCGAAUCUUUUUGUUUCUUGUUUUAUCACUAGUUAGUUUAUAAAAGAAAACUACAAAAAAAAUGGAAUUGAGUUUGUCUCAUACGCUUCAUCUUUUUAAUAUCUUUCGUAAGUAUGAUGAAAAGGAAAAUUGUGCUCAAGUGCUAGAAGAAGAAGUCUAUAAAAUGUUUGGCACUAAAUCUUUGAAUGAUGAGCAUGAUUGCAAUGUUUUUAGUAUGAAUUCUUUGAAUAUCCAUAGUACUAAUGAUGAUUGCACUAGUUAUGAUGAAAAUAUCUCUUAUAAGCAUGUCGAUUUUUGUGGAGUGCAUUGGAUUUGCAAGUAAACACCAAAUAGGGAAGAUAGAUAUUGCAAGAGGCAUAAGCAUUUAGAAACCAAAUUGUUGCAAGAAAGGCUAGAUAAGAAUGCUGAAAAUUUACAUUUCUUUUGUUGUACUUGUGAACUUUGCAAUGAACGUGGUCAUUUACAUCUUCGAUGUAAAUUGUUUCAUGAUCGAAUCGUGUCCUAGAAUUGUGAUGAUUUGAUUUCCCUUGCACAUCAUAAUGAACUCAAUUUGCUUUUGGGUUAUGAAGAAAUGAAAUGUUUAACUAAGCAUCUUCCAGAAUUUGCCCUUAAGAAACUCCUUGAUUUUGAUCUAGAGAAGAUUUAUUUAUUUUGUGCGGUGAAUUGCAUUGAAAAUCCUUAUAUUGUCAAUUACCUAAAGAAAAGAAAGCAAAUAGAAGAUGAAGAGAACACUAAUGAAAGGGAAGAGACUUCCCAAUAUCCUCCUAUUAUUUCUUAUGACGAAUCAGGUAACGAGGAGGAGCUUUCUAUUGAACCAAUCUCAUUAAUAAGGAGCUCAAAUAAGAAGGUUAAACCCACACAUGAUGAGAAGAAGAAAAAGAAAAAACGGAGAAGCAAAGGUAAAAAGGUAUCCCUCCCAAAUGAUGUUGCUCCUACUACUCAUUGUGAUGAUGAUAAUUGCUAUACUAUUGGUGCUAUCCAUACUAUUAAUGAUGAGAGUGAUUAUGCUUAUGAAAUGAAAAGGCCCAAGCUUGGGGAAGCUAUGUUUGAUGACAAUGACAUAUUUGAGAAUAUAGUUGCUGAAAUUAAUGUUUUUCCCAAGCUUGGGGAUGCUACAUUUAAUGAAGAUGAUAUUUUUAGCCUCCCAAGUUUUGAUAUGCAAAGUUGUUAUGAUGAUAGCAUGCCUCUUACCUAUGAUGAUUAUAUUGAUGAAAGUGGGUUUGGAAGAGUGUCAACUUUACGAAGUAAUGAUCCCACUAUUUUGGAGGAUGUUGAAUCUUAUAAUAUUUAUGAAAGUGGAUUUGGAGAGGUCAUGACUUUAUUUAGUGAUGAAUCCACUAUUUCGGAAGAGGUUCCAAUUGAUUAUGAGAACAAAGUUGCUAUCUAUGAUGAUUAUUGUGAUGACAUGUAUGCUAUAAAGAACAAUGAUAACCAUGAAACUUGUCAUCACGAUUUUAGUUUUCAAUUGGAUUAUGCUUCACAUGAUAGUUAUUUUGUUGAGUUUGCUCCCACUACUAUUCAUGAGAACAAAUUUGCUUAUGUGGAGAGUAAUAAAAUUUCUAUGCUUGUGGAUCAUGAAAAGAAUGCAUUAUGUGAUGGUUAUAUUCUUGAAUUCAUUCACGAUGCUACUGAAAAUUGUCAUGAGGGAGGAACAUAUGCUUGUAGGAAUUGCAAUAAUAUCAAGUUUCCUCUCUAUGUGCUUAAAGUUUCAAAGUUAUGCUUGUUUUGCCUUCCUAUGCUAGUUGAUAAUUGUUCCCAUAAGUUGUUUGCUCACAAAAUCCCUAUGCAUAGGAAGUGGGUUAGACUUAAAUGUGCUUGCCAUGUUCUUCAUGAUGCUCUCUUUAUGUUUCAAUUCUUAUCUUUUAUGCGAGAGCAUCAUUGAAAUCAUCAUGCCUAGCUAGGGGCGUUAAACGUUAGCGCUUGUUGGGAGGCAACCCAAUUUUAUUUUUGUUCCUUGCUUUUUGUUCCUGUUUAGUAAUAAAUAAACCAUCUGGCUUCUGGUUAGACGUGGUUUUAGUGCCAAGUAAGACCUAUAGGAUCUUCUUGGAUGAUAAUUAUUUGAUCUUGCUGAAAAACACAGAAACUUUCUGCUCACGAAAACAAUUGUUAAAAAUCACUAGAAAGUGAUAAAACACUGAUUCCAAUUGAAGUAGAUCAAUAAUCAAAUUAUCUAGGUUUUCCUAUUUUGGCAGAUUUUUCUGAGUUUCAGAAGUUUGCGUUUGAUACAGAUUACUACAGACUGUUUUGUUUUUGACAGAUUCUGUUUUCUAUGUGUUGUUUGCUUAUUUUGAUGAAUCUAUGAGUAGUAUCGGAGGGUAUGAACCAUAGAGAAGUUGGAAUACAGUAGGUUUAACACCAAUAUAAAUAAAGAAUGAGUUCAUUACAGUACCUUUAAGUGGUGGUUUGUUUUAUUUCGCUAACGGAGCUUAUGAGUUUUCUGUUAAGUUUUGUGUUGUGAAGUUUUCAAGUUUUGGGUAAAGAUUCAAUGGACUAUGGGAUAAGGAGUGGCAAGAGCCUAAGCUUGGGGAUGCCCCGGAUGGCAUCCCCUCUUUCGUCUUCGUUCAUCGGUAACUUUACUUGGAGCUAUAUUUUUAUUCACCACAUGAUAUGUGUUUUGCUUGGAGCGUCAUUUUAUUUUGUUAGUAUUUUCUUGAUGUUAUCUAGAAUAAUGUUUUGCAUCUCUAUUUUGAAUAAAAAUGUGAAGGAUAGCCUUUACCAUGCUUAUUUUGCAAGUAUACAUGUUGCUGUUUCAAAACAGAAAGUUUACCGCUGUUGCGAAAAUUCCCUAGAAAAGUCAGAAUGUGAUAAAAUGUUGAAACCUUUUGCAUAAUAAGAUCUGAUAAAUUUAAUACAGUGGUAAUUUUCUUUCAUAAUUUUUGGAGUUAGGUAAGUAUGAUGAAUCUUGCAUUCUUUACAGACUAUACUGUUUUGGCAGAUUGCUGUUAUGUUUGCAUCGUCUGCAUAUGUUUGCUUGUUUAAUGAUUCUAUUUGAGGAUACGAGUAUCAAAUAUGCAGAGGCAUUUAGUAUGCAAUGUUGAAUAAUAAUUUUAGUGAUUUGCUACAGUAGAGUAUGAUAAGGUUUUUGCAUUGGUUUAUACUAACUUAUCUCAUGAGUCCUUGUUGAGUUUUGUGUGGAUGAAGUUUUUGAGAUUUAGGGAGAUCGUGAUAUAAAAGGAAUUAAGGAGACACAAAAGCUCAAGCUUGGGGAUGCCCAAGGCAUCCCUAGAUAGUAUUUCAAGAAGUCUUAAGCAUCUAAGCUUGGGGAUGCCCCGGUUGGCAUCCCACCUUUCUUCUUCGACAACUAUCGGUUAGUAUCGGUUGAGCCUAAGUUUUUGCUUCUUCACAUGAGUUGUGCUAUCCUUGCAAUGUCAUUUUAUUUUGCUUUGCUUGUUGUUUGAAUAAAAUACCAAGAUCUGACAUUCUUAAAUGAGAGAGAGUCUUCACAUAGUUACAUAAUUAUUUAACUACUCAUUGAUCUUCACUUAUAUCUUUUUGGAGUAGUUUGCCAUUUACUCGUGAGCUUCACUUAUAUCCUAUGAGUAAAUUGUUGAAUGAGUUGAAUGUCCUAAAUCUGAAAUUAUAUAUGUUUCAUAUGAUUACCCCAUUGGGAGUAAUGACUUUACAUCUAAGAAGUAGAGGUUGUAAAUUUAUUGAAGGUUAGCAAACAUUGUAUUGGUCACUUGAACAAUUCAUGUAGAAUAUUGAAGGAAGAGAGAUUUCACAUAUAAAUAUACUAUCUUAGACAUCUUCUAUGAUUGUGAGCCCCAUUAAUUAUUUUCAAACCCGAGCAAAUUAGUUGAAAUUGGACAAGGAAGACAACGUAAUGAGUUAUGCUUGGGUAUAUUUGUAUAGAAGUUAUAUUGUUAUAGAUCCUCCAACAUGUGGUGCCUGCUUUUUAGAAUCCUUUGCUAGCCAAAAUAUCUGUACUAAGCGGGAAUACUGCUUGUGCAUCCAAAUCCCUUAAACCAAGUUUCUUCCAUGAGUGUCCACCAUACCUACCUAUAUGUGGUAUUUACCUGCCGUUCUAAGUAAAUUUGCAUGUGCCAAACUCUAAACCUUCAAAUAAUAAUCUGUUUUGUAUGCCCGAAUCGCUCAUGUAGCGACUAGGGGCUGUCAGUAUAUUCCAUGCUAGGUGGGUUAUUCUCAAGAUGAGUGGACUCUGCUCAUCAUUCACGAGAAAAAUGACUAGUAACCGGGAUGCCCAGUCCCAUGAUCAAAAGAUCAAAAUCAAAUCAAAAAUAAUUGCAAACAAAACUCCCCCAGGAUUGAUGUUAGUUGGAGGCACCCUUUGUUUCGGGCAAGCCAUGGAUUGAUGAUUGUUGGUGGAGGGGGAGUAAAAACUUUACCAUUUUGUUUGGGAACCGCCUAUAAUGUAUGUAGUAUGGAAGCUAUUGGGAACUCUUGGUUGUUAUGUUGACAAUGAGAUCAUACCUCUCAAAAUUAUUUAUCUCUAUUUCAAAAUCGAGCUCUGGCACCUCUGCAAAUCCCUGCUUCCCUCUGCGAAGGGCCUCUCUUUUACUUUUAUGCAAGAGUCAGUAGUAUUCCUUCUCAUUCCUACCUACUCUUUAGUUGGCAAGCAUUGUGUGUUGGGGAAAGAUCUAAGCAUAUAUGGCCAUGCAAAUAUAUUCGAUCAUGAAUUAUUGUUGUUGACAAUUAUCUAUAUGAUAAGUGAGUUGGGAGGCGAAACACUAAGCCCCUAUCUUUCUCUGUGUUCGAUGGAUGCUAUUUGUUCUAAGAAUAUGCUUUGAGUGGUAGCAAUCAUGGAAGACUAUAUGAUAGUUGAGUAUGUGGAGUUUGCUAAAUCAAAGCUCUGACAUAGACCCUUCCUGAAAAUAAGAUUGAUUGUAAUUGUUUGAUGACUAAGAAUGAAGUUUGCUAGUUUUCAAGAAAGUUUAUGGUCUAUACUUUAACAUGUGAAUAGCUUGUUACUUGAUCUUGAGAAGUUUUAUGAGAUGAACUACUGUUAUGACAUAUAAUCAUGCUAGAAAAGGUGAUUGAAAUUAUCAUUGAUCAAACUUGUGCACCUGCUAGCAUUCACACUUCAUAAAUUCUUUCUUUUAUCAUUUACCUACUCGAGGACGAGCAGGAAUUAAGCUUGGGGAUGCUGAUACGUCUCCAACGUAUCUAUAAUUUAUGAAGCAUUCAUGCUAUUAUAUUAUCUGUUUUGGAUGUUUACAGGCUUUAUUAUACAUUUUUAUAUUAUUUUUGGGACUAACCUAUUAACCGGAGGCCCAACCCAUAUUGUUGUUUUCUUGCCUAUUUCAGUGUUUCGAAGAAAAGGAAUAUCAAACGGAGUCCAAACGGAAUGAAACCUUCGGGAGCGUGAUUUUUGGAACGAACGUGAUCCAGGAGACUUGGAGUUGAAGUCAAGGAAGCUUCGAGGUGGCCACGAGGGUGGGCCACGCGCCUCCCCUACUGGGCGCGCCCCCUGUCUCGUGGGCCCUCGUGGCUCCCCUGACCGACUUCUUUCGCCUAUAUAAGUCCAUAUACCCUAAAAAUAUCGAGGACGACAAUAGAUCGGGAGUUCCGCUUCCGCAAGCCUCUGUAGCCACCAAAAACCAAUCGGGACCCUGUUCCGGCACCCUCCCGGAGGGGGGAUCCCUCACCGGUGGCCAUCUUCAUCAUCCCGGCGCUCUCCAUGACGAGGAGGGAGUAGUUCACCCUCGGGGCUGAGGGUAUGUACCAGUAGCUAUGUGUUUGAUCUCUCUCUCUCGUGUUCUUGACUUCGCACGAUCUUGAUGUAUCGCGAGCUUUGCUAUUAUAGUGGGAUCUUAUGAUGUUUCUCCCCCCUCUACUCUCUUGUAAUGGAUUGAGUUUUCCCUUUGAAGUUAUCUUAUCGGAUUGAGUCUUUAAGGGUUUGAGAACACUUGAUGUAUGUCUUGCCGUGCUUAUCUGUGGUGACAAUGGGAUAUCACGUGAUCCACUUGAUGUAUGUUUUGGUGAUCAACUUGCGGGUUCCGCCCAUGAACCUAUGCAUAGGGGUUGGCCCACGUUUUCGUCUUGACUCUCCGGUAGAAACUUUGGGGUACUCUUUGAAGUAUUUUCUGUUGGCUGAAUAGAUGAAUCUGAGAUUGUGUGAUGCAUAUCGUAUAAUCAUACCCACGGAUACUUGAGGUGACAAUGGAGUAUCUAGGUGACAUUAGGGUUUUGGUUGAUUUGUGUCUUAAGGUGUUAUUCUAGUAUGAACUCUAUGAUAGAUUGAACGGAAAUAAUAGCUUCCCGUUAUUUUACUACGGACUCUUGAAUAGAUCGAGCAGAAAGAAUAACUUUGAGGUGGUGUUUCGUACCCUACCAUAAUCUCUUCGUUUGUUCUCCGCUAUUAGUGACUUUGGAGUGACUCUUUGUUGCAUGUUGAGGGAUAGUUAUAUGAUCCAAUUAUGUUAUUAUUGUUGUGAGAACUUGCACUAGUGAAAGUAUGAACCAUAUGCCUUGCUUCCUAGCAUUGCAAUACCGUUUACGCUCACUUUAUCAUUAGUUACCUUGCUGUUUUUAUAUUUUCAGAUUACAAAAACCUAUAUCUACCAUCCAUAUUGCACUUGUAUCACCAUCUCUUCGCCGAACUAGUGCACCUAUACAAUUUACCAUUGUAUUGGGUGUGUUGGGGACACAAGAGACUCUUUGUUAUUUGGUUGCAGGGUUGUUUGAGAGAGACCAUCUUCAUCCUACGCCUCCCACGGAUUGAUAAACCUUAGGUCAUCCACUUGAGGGAAAUUUGCUACUGUUUUACAAACCUCUGCACUUGGAGGCCCAACAACGUCUACAAGAAGAAGGUUGUGUAGUAGACAUCAAGGACGAGGCUUGAUUCUUGUGUCUUUCGUUUGUGUCAUCACAAACUUAGUUUGCAUGUUGAACUUGGUUUAAUUAUGUUGUGGGCAUGAACUUUUGGGCACGAACUUGGUUGGAAUGAUGUUUGAUUCAAUAUAUGCCAUGUGUUUUGUGUUGAAGUGUGAAAUUUGUGCACAAAAUGUGUGCGCCGACUGCUCGCGCGCGCUGCAUUUUAGCGCGCUGCUGGAGCAGCGCGCGCUGCAUUUUAGCGCUCCUGCUGGAGCAAGCGCUGCGCGGCGCGUCAAACCUGGCGUUGCGCGCGGCGCAAACCAGAUUUUAGCACGCCGCGCAUUGGGCGCCUGUUGGAGAUGCUCUAAGGAACAUCUACUCCCUCCCCUCCUUUUUAAUUCGCAUAUAAGUUUUGUCCGAAGUCAAACUAUCUCUACUUUGAUAAAACUUAUAAGAAAAAGUACCAACAUUCACAACGCCAAAUCAAUAUUGUUAGAUUCAUUAUGAAAUGUAUAUAUAUUUGGUAUUGUAGAUGUUAAAAUUUGGUCAAACUUUAUAAAGUUUGACUUGACAGAAAUCUAAUAUGCAGAGUAAAAAAGACCGGACGGAGUACAACAGUCGGUCGGACCAUCAUUUUCGGGGAGGAUGAGGCCGUUUGCUGUGGCACAACGUGUCACUUAGCAACGAGUGGCUCCACUACGUUUUGAUAAAUAAAAAAGUCAAAAGGAAGUGUUGAUAUUGGCUUGGAAUUUGAAAAGAUCAUGUUAUCCAAUCGUACGCAGACACAUGGUACUCCCUUCUUGCAUUAUGGGACGGAGGCAGUAACUCACAUUGGUUGUGUAUGCCGUGAUGAUGCACAUGUCCAUUUCAGCAUUAUGUCACGCCAGUGUUGUCUCAACGAAUCGUUAGGUUUCGUACCGAGUGGGAUAAAUCUUUGAUCAUAGAACGCAACCCUGUUUGUCCACCUCGACACAAUUAGCUGGUGCAAUUCGGCGCAUGCCGUUCCAUCUGCCUUUCAGUGCUUCGGAAGCAAAUCCAAUUUUUUUGGAAGCCUGAACGAACAGGCCGCCUGCACUUCCCCUCCUUGUCCUUGCUCCUCCCCCAUGUCUAUAAUAGUGGCGUGGAUCCGAUUUCCGUGUACAGUGCUCCUCCGGCAACGCCGCCGGCCCGGCUCAGACAACUUCAGUCGAACGAUGAAGAAGAGCUUAUCACACAACUUCUUAGCAUUUCUUGUGUACUCUGAAAUUCUCUUACGAUGGUAACUCAUCGAGAUUAAUUUCUCUCUUAAUAGAAGGCUUCGGGAGACUAGCUGCGGUGACAUGUUUUCCACACACACAAAAAAAGUUGCGGUGACAUUUGAUGCACUUUGCUUACGAUCCACUGGGUGACCUUGAAGUGGCCCCAUCAUUAUCAGAAUCUAGUGAACGGUUUAUAUUUGAAUCAUACCUUUCAUAGCCUAGAUCAAUCAAAGUCCAUUGAGAAAAACAAUUAGAAAACAUGGGAAAAAAUUCAUUAUCACGCUAGGCUACUAGGGUAGGUCGAACAUGCACAAGAGGAAGAAGAUGUGGCAAUAAUAAUUACCUUAAUUUUCGGGCUACGGGUUAGUUUGGUUGCCACCCUGGGCUGCGUGCCUGGAAAGAAGUCGUGCCACCCUAUGCUGCGUGCCUGGGUUAGUUUGGUUGCCACCCCAGUGAGGGCCACGUGUCAUGCAAGCGGAGUCCCGCACCCGUUCUUCAAUUUUUUGGAUCCCUUCCUUUCGUAUUAUUGCUUUGUUUUGACGGGGAGACACCGUGACAUCCCGUUUUGGCGUGACGUCGAAUUUUUCCGACCCAAAAUGGGGAAAAGUGUCCACGACGGAGAGCGUCUCAAAGCGCUCCCGGAUGUGUAAAACGGGUAUAGGCACGUAGCACCGAGUUAGAUGGCCCACAAUCCCGGGGUCGUGUCGAAAAUUAGGGGCAAAACGGGCAUUUCUUUCGUCUCUGGCAAUGUAGGAUAGCCUUCGGGAGGACUAUGCAACCGGGGCAUGGGGGCUCCGUCCCAGGAACCACCGCCCGCUGCGGUCGAGGGGGUGCCUGUCAGUGUCAAAACCGGCGGAUCUCGGGUAGGGGGUCCCGAACUGUGCGUCUAAGGUCGAUGGUAACAGGAGACAAGGGACACGAUGUUUACCCAGGUUCGGGCCCUCUCUAUGGAGGUAAUACCCUACUUCCUGCUUGAUUGAUCUUGAUGAAUAUGAGUAUUACAAGAGUUGAUCUACCACGAGAUCGUAAUGGCUAAACCCUAGAAAUCUAGCCUGUAUGACUAUGGUAAUGAGUAUAUCCUCAUCCGGACUAAGUCCUUCAGUUUAUAUAAGCACCAGGAGGAUCUAGGGUUACACAGGUCGGUUACAAGGAAGGGAAUCUACAUAUUUGGUCGCCAAGCUUGCCUUCCACGCCAAGGAGAGUCCCAUCCGGACACGGGUGCAGUCUUCGGUCUUCGUAUCUUCACAGCCCAUCAGUCCGGCCCAUGGCUAACAGGCCGGACGCCCGAGGACCCCUUAGUCCAGGACUCCCUCAGUAGCCCCUGAACCUGGCUUCAAUGACAAGGUAUCCGGCGCGUAGAUCUGUCUUCGGCAUUGCAAGGCGGGUUCCUCCUUCCGAACUCGAAGAUAGUCUUUGGACGUAUUGAAUGUGUCCGGACCUGUAACACGCACCACACAACCGCAGAGGGAAUAUAAUCGUGUCCCAUCUACUAACAACUUUUUGCAAGAUGACAUCACAUUUGUUCGGUCACUAUAUCGAACCAUUUUCGUCUGCCGCUCCGUGUUUCAAGACGCGGUUUCCAUUGGCACGUCUUGUCAAAGCAGAGAUCGUGCCCCCUUAUUGCGGGAUUCUCAUCAAUUCGGGCGUGGGUAACCCAACCAUGCAUGUUUACACAGCCCUUGGGAAUAGGCGAGUUUUAAGGCGAGUGGGGAGGCGUUCAAUAUUCACUGCCUUUAUAAGGGGAUAAGGAUUCCCCCUUCUUCUCCCACGCCUUCUCUCUUCCUUCAUCCUUCCACUCUUGAGCUCCAGCGCCCAUGUUCUCAUCUUCUUCCCACUCAAGCCGGCACUCAACCAUGUUCGGAACCGGAGGCCAAGGCAAGUGGAUGGCCUCCUCCGUCAAGGAGAAGGACAUUACUGAGCUUCGGGCGGCCAGGUACUUGGCGAAGGAAACCGCCCACCGCCUUCCAGCCCAGGGACAAGUCGUCCCCGUGUCGAAGCCGAACGAGAGGGUGGUAUUCAUCCCUCAUUUCUUCCGCGGGCUAGGGUUUCCACUCCACCCUUUCGUCUGUGGGCUGAUGUACUAUUAAGGGAUAGACUUCCAUGAACUAUCCCCGAACUCCUUCCUCAACAUCUCGGCGUUCAUCGUCGUGUGUGAGGCCUUCCUCCGUAUCCAACCCCACUUCAGGCUGUGGCUCAAAGUUUUGAACGUGAAGCCGAAGGUGGUGGAUGGCCAGCAUGCUGAGUGCGGAGGAGCCAUGGUGAGUAAGCUGUCCAAUGUCUUCUGGCCGAAAGGCACUUCCAUGGAGACUGUCAAGGAAUGGCAGAAACAAUGGUUCUAUAUUACGGAACCCCGAGGCACCAACUGGGCCGCAGCUGCCGAAUUCAACCCCGGUGCUCCAACGCGGCUCACCUCCUGGGUCGAGAAGAGCCCGAACUGGUGUUCGCCAGACGAGCUGAUAGCGCUGCAGACGCGCAUUCAGAGCAUGGUGGACAAGAAUGUCAAACUUGUCAAUGUAAUCCAGGUGAUGCUAGUUCGCCGGAUUCUCCCGUGCCAAAAGCCGAAGCUUCCCGCAAUGGAAGUUCAAUCCGAAGAAGCACCAUACCCUGAAGAGGCUCUUCGAGACUACUCACAAAGAUGCUUGGAGGUUGCUCUUCAAGGGCAACGAGACACCACCAGCCACGGAUUCGGACCGUGGGCAUGAUGUUGACCACCCUGCCAGCGAGGUGAGUUUUUAAUGCGUCCUCAACUUGUUUGUUUCAAGGAGGAUAUCUGAAUUUUUAUUGCCAUUUCUUCUUCAGGGAUGGAUGGAGAGGGCGAAGAAGCUCCAGUGCCCGGCUCCGCUGCCUGAAGAACCAGUCAUUCCGCGUCUAGCGAAGAUGCUGGUGUCGGCGCCCUAUACGGUGCCGGCGAAGAAGGCCAAGGGGGUCCGGAGCAGCCUCCGCCGCAAGGGUGCUACGGAUGCGACGUCUGCAGACAAGACCCGUUCCUCCGUCGCCGAAGACGACGACGAUGAAGAGGAGGAGAAGGAGGAGGAGAGCGACUCUCCCCCUGAUGGAGGGAGAAAGAAGAGGGCGGCCUCCACAAUUCUGGAGACGGAGGCGCCCAAGAGGGGGAAAGGCCAGCCUGCGGGCUGCUUCGUAUGGGACGUCGACAGCAGUCCGGAGCAACGCCCCCUGCUACCUCUUGAGCACUGCGUUGGUUUUCCCUUGAAGAGGAAAGGGUGAUGCAGCAAAGUAGCAUAAGUAUUUCCCUCAGUUUUUGAGAACCAAGGUAUCAAUCUAGUAGGAGGCUACGCGCGAGUCCCUCGUACCUACACAAAACAAAUAAAUCCUCGCAACCAACGCGAUAAGGGGUUGUCAAUCCCUUCACGGUCACUUACGAGAGUGAGAUCUGAUAGAUAUGAUAGGAUAAUAUUUUUGGUAUUUUUAUGAUAAGAUGCAAAGUAAAAUAAAAGCAAAGUAAAAAGCAAAAGGAAAUAAAUAAGUGUUGGAAGAUUAAUAUGAUGAAGAUAGACCCGGGGGCCAUAGGUUUCACUAGUGGCUUCUCUCAAGAGCAUAAGUAUUUUACGGUGGGUGAACGAAUUACUGUUGAGCAAUUGACAGAAUUGAGCAUAGUUAUGAGAAUAUCUAGGUAUGAUCAUGUAUAUAGGCAUCACGUCCGAGACAAGUAGACCGACUCCUGCCUGCAUCUACUACUAUUACUCCACUCAUCGACCGCUAUUCAGCAUGCAUCUAGAGUAUUAAGUUCAUGAAAACAGAGUAACGCCUUAAGCAACAUGACAUGAUGUAGAGGGAUAAAUUGAUGCAAUAUGAUAAAAACCCCAUCUUGUUAUCCUCGAUGGCAACAAUACAAUACCUGCCUUGCUGCCCCUACUGUCACUGGGAAAGGACACCGCAAGAUUGAACCCAAAGCUAAGCACUUCUCCCAUUGCAAAAAAGAUCAAUCUAGUAGGCCAAACCAAACUGAUAAUUCGAAGAGACUUGCAAAGAUAACCAAUCAUACAUAAAAGAAUUUAGAGAAGAUUCAAAUAUUGUUCAUAGAUAAUCUUGAUCAUAAACCCACAAUUCAUCGAUCUCAACAAACACACCGCAAAAAGAAGAUUACAUCGAAUAGAUCUCCACGAGAGAGGGGGAGAACAUUGUAUUGAGAUCCAAAAAGAGAGAAGAAGCCAUCUAGCUACUAACUAUGGACCCGAAGGUCUGAAGUAAACUACUCACACUUCAUCGGAGAGGCUAUGGUGUUGAUGUAGAAGCCCUCCAUGAUGGAUGCCCCCUCCGGCGGAGCUCCGGAACAGGCCCCAGGGUGGGAUCUCGUGGAUACAGAAGGUUGCGGCAAUGGAAUUAGGUUUUUGGCUCCUGUUCUGAUCGUUUGGGGGUACGUAGGUAUAUAUAGGAGGAAGGAGUACGUCGGUGGAGCAACAGGGGGCCCACGAGGGUGGAGGGCGCGCCCCCUACCUCGUGGCCUCCUGGAAGCUUCUCUUACGUAGGGUCCAAGUCUCCUGGAUCUUGUUCGUUCCAAAAAUCACGCUCCUGAAGGUUUCAUUCCGUUUGGACUCCGUUUGAUAUUCUUUUUCUGCGAAACUCUGAAAUAGGCAAAAAACAGCAAUUCUGGGUUGGGCCUCCGGUUAAUAGGUUAGUCCCAAAAAUAACAUAAAAGUGAAUAAUAAAGCCCAAUAAUGUCCAAAACAGAAGAUAAUAUAGCAUGGAGCAAUCAAAAAUUAUAGAUACAUUGGAGACGUAUCAAGCAUCCCCAAGCUUAAUUCCUGCUCGUCCUCGAGUAUGUAAAUGAUAAAAACAGAAUUUUUGAUGCGGAGUGCUACUAGGCAUAAUUUCAAUGUAAUUCUUCUUAAUUGUGGUGUGAAUAUUCAGAUCGGAAAGAUUCAAGAUAAAAGUUCAUAUUGAAAUAAAAAUAAUAAUACUUCAAGCAUACUAACCAAGCAAUUAUGUCUUCUCAAAAUAACAUGGCCAAAGAAAGUUCAUCCCUACAAAAUCAUAUAGUUUAGUCAUGCUCCAUUUUCGUCACACAAGAAUGCUCUCAUCAUGCACAACCCUGAUGACAAGCCAAGCAAUUGUUUCAUACUUUAGUAAUCUCAAACUUAUAAACCUUCAGGCAAUAUAUGAGCGUGAGCCAUGGACAUAACACUAUGGGUGGAAUAGAAUAUGAUGAUGGGGGUUAUGUGGAGAAGACAAAAAAGGAGAAAGUAUCACAUCAACGAGGCUAAUCAAUGAGCUAUGGAGAUGCCCAUCGAUUGAUGUUAAUGCAAGGAGUAGGGAUUGCCAUGCAACGGAUGCACUAGAGCUAUAAAUGUAUGAAAGCUCAACAAAAGAAACUAAGUGGGUGUGCAUCCAACUUGCUUGCUCACGAAGACCUAGGGCACUUGAGGAGGCCCAUUGUUGGAAUAUACAAGCCAAGUUCUAUAAUGAAAAAUUCCCACUAGUAUAUGAAAGUGACAAAACAAUAGACUCUCUAUCAUGAAGAUUAUGGUUCUACUUUGAAGCACAAGUGUGGCAAAGGAUAGUAACAUUGUCCCUUCUCUCUUUUUAUCUCUUUUUUUUCUUCUUUUUUUUGGGCCUUCACUUUUUAUGGCCUUUCUCUUUUUUUUAUUCCUCGCUUGGGACAAUGCUCUAGAAAAUGAUGAUCAUCACACUUCUAUUUAUUUACAACUCAAUGAUUACAACUCGAUACUAGAACAAAGUAUGAAUCUAUAUGAAUGCCUCCGGCGGUGUACCGGGAUAUGCAAUGAACCAAGAGUGACAUGUAUGAAAGAAUUAUGAAUGGUGGCUUUUCCACAAAUACUAUGUCAACUACAUGAUCAUGCUAAGCAAUAUGACAAUGAUGAACGUGUCAUCAUAAACGGAAUGGUGGAAAGUUGCAUGGCAAUAUAUCUCGGAAUGGCUAUGGAAAUGCCAUAAUAGGUAGGUAUGGUGGCUGUUUUGAGGAAGAUAUAAGGAGGUUUAUGUGUGAAAGAGCGCAUCAUAUCACGGGGUUUGGAUGCACCGGCGAAGUUUGCACCAACUCUCAAUGUGAGAAAGGGCAAUGCACGGUACCCAAGAGGCUAGCAAUGAUGGAAGGGUGAGAGUGCGUAUAAUCCUUGGACUCAACAUUAGUCAUAAAGAACUCACAUACUUAUUGCAAAAAUCUACAAGUCAUCAAAAACCAAGCACUACGCGCAUGCUCCUAGGGGGAUAGAUUGGUAGGAAAAGACCAUCGCUCGUCCCCGACCGCCACUCAUAAGGAGGACAAUCAAAGAACACCUCAUGUUUCAAAUUUGUUACAUAACGUUUACCAUACGUGCAUGCUACGGGACUUGCAAACUUCAACACAAGCAUUUCUCAAAUUCACAACUACUCAACUAGCACGACUCUGAUAUUAUUACCUCCAUAUCUCAAAACAAUCAUCAAGCAUCAAACUUCCCUUAGUAUUCAAAACACUCAUAAGAAAGUUUUUACUAAACUUGAAUACCUAGCAUAUUAGGAUUAUUUAAGCAAAUUACCAUGUUAAGACUCUCAAAAUAAUAUAAGUGAAGCAUGAGAGAUCAAUAGUUUCUAUAAAACAAAUCCACCACCGUGCUCUAAAAGAUAUAAGUGAAGUACUAGAGCAAAACUAUAUAACUCAAAAGAUAUAAGUGAAGCACAUAGAGUAUUCUAAUAAUUUCCAAAUCAUGUAUGGCUCUCUCAAAAGGUGUGUACAGCAAGGAUGAUUGUGGUGAACUAAAAAUCAAAGACUCAAAUCAUACAAGACGCUCCAAGCAAAACACAUAUCAUGUGGUGAAUAAAAAUAUAGCUCCAAGUAAAGUUACCGAUGGAAGUAGACGAAAGAGGGGAUGCCUUCCGGGGCAUCCCCAAGCUUUGGCUUUUUGGUGUCCUUAGAUUAUCUUGGGGGUGCCAUGGGCAUACCCAAGCUUAGGCUCUUGCAACUCCUUGUUCCAUAAUCCAUCAAAUCUUUCACCCAAAACUUGAAAACUUCACAACACAAAACUUAGCAGAAAAUCUCGUGAGCUCCGUUAGCGAAAGAAAACAAAAGACCACUUCAAGGUACUGUAAAAUGAACUCAUUCUUUAUUUAUAUUGGUGUUAAACCUACUGUAUUCCAACUUCUCUAUGGUUUAUAAACUAUUUUAUUAGCCAUAGAUUCAUCAAAAAAAGUAAACAACACACGAAAAACAGAACCUGUCAAAAACAGAACAGUCUGUAGUAAUCUGUAACUAAUGCAAACUUCUGGAACUCCAAAACAUCAGAAAAAAUAGGAAGAACUAGAAAAUUUGUUUAUUGAUCAGCAGCAAUUGGAAUCAGUAUUUUAUCACGUUCUGGUGAUUUUUAACAAUUGUUUUCGUGAACAGAAAGUUUCUGGAAAUUACAGCAAGAUCAAAUAACUAUCAUCCGAGAAGAUCCUAUAGGUUUAACUUGGAACAAACACUAAUUAAAACAUAAAAACACAUCUAACCAGAGGCUAGAACAAAUAUUUAUUCCUAAACAGAAGCAAAAGCAAAAAACUAGAAAUAAAAUUGUGUUGCCUCCCAACAAGCGCUAUCGUUUAACGCCCCUAGCUAGGCAUAAAAGCAAGGAUAGAUCUAGGUAUUGCCAUCUUUGGUGGGCAAAUCAUAAGUGGCUCUCAUGAUAGAUUCAUAUGGUAAUUUUAUUUUCUUCCUAGGGAAGUGUUCCAUGCCUUUCUUUAAUAGAAAUUGAAAUCUAAUAUUCCCUUCCUUCAUAUCAAUAAUUGCACCAAUCGUUCUAAGGAAAGGUCUACCAAGAAUAAUAGGACAAGAAGGAUUGCAAUCUAUAUCAAGAACGAUAAAAUCUACGGGCACAUAGUUCCUAUUUGCAACAAUAAGGACAUCAUUAAUUCUUCCCAUAGGUUUCUUAAUAGUGGAAUCCGUAAGGUGCAAGUUUAAAGAGCAAUCAUAAAAAUCAUGGAAACCUAGCAAAUCACACAAAGUUUUUGGAAUAGUGGAAACACUAGCACCCAAAUCACACAAAGCAUAGCACUCAUGAUCCUUAAUCUUAAUUUUAAUAGUUGGUUUCCACUCAUCAUAAAGUUUUCUAGGGAUAGAAACUUCCAACUCAAGCUUUUCUUCAUAAGAUUGCAUCAAGGCAUCAACGAUAUGUUUAGUAAACGCUUUAUUUUGACUAUAAGCAUGAGGAGAAUUUAGCACGGAUUGCAACAAGGAAAUACAAUCUAUCAAAGAGCAAUUAUAAUAAUUAAAUUCCUUGAAAUCCAAAAUAGUGGGUUUAUCAACAUCUAAUGUUUUGAUUUCUUCAAUCCCACUUUUAUCAAUUUUAGCAUCAAGAUCUGAAAACUCCAAAUUUUUGGAACGCCUUCUAGGUAAAGGUGGAUCAUAUUCAGUCCCAUCAUUAUCAAGAUUCAUAUUGCAAAACAAAGAUUUAAUAGGGGACACAUCAAUAACUUUUAGAUCUUCAUCUUUAUUUUCAUAGAAAUUUGAAGAACACGCUUUUAUAAAGCAAUCUUUCUUAGCACGCAUCCUAGCGGUUCUUUAUUUGCACUCAUCAAUGGAAAUUCUCAUGGCUUUGAGAGACUCAUUGAUAUCAUGCUUAGGAGGAAUAGAUCUAAGUUUUAAAGAAUCAACAUCAAGAGAAAUUCUAUUAACGUUCCUAGCCAAUUGAUCAACUUUAAGCAAUUUCUCUUCAAGCAAAGCAUUGAAAUUCUUUUGCGAAUUCAUAAACUCUUUAACACUAGUCUCAAAUUCAUAGGGCAUCGUAUUAAAAUUUCCAUAAGAGUUAUUGUAGGAAUUACCAUAAUUAUUAGAGGAAUUGCUAGGAUAAGGCCUAGGAUUAAAGUUUCCUCUAUACGCGUUGUUACCAAAAAAAUUCCUACCAACAAAAUUCACAUCCAUAGAUUCAUUAUUAUUCUAAAUCAAAGUAGAAAAAGGCAUAUCAUUAGGAUCAGAAGAAACACUCUUAGUAGCAAAUAAUUUCAUAAGUUCAUCCAUCUUUCCACUCAAAACAUUUAUUUCUUCUAUCGCAUGCACUUUUUUAUUAGUAGAUCUUUCAGUGUGCCAUUGAGAAUAAUUAACCAUAAUAUUAUCUAGGAGUUUAGUAGCUUCUUCUAAAGUGAUUUCCAUAAAAGUGCCUCCCGCGGCCGAAUCUAAAAGAUUUCUAGAAGCAAAAUUCAGUCCGGCAUAUUUUUUUUGUAUAAUUAUCCACAAAUUCAAACCAUGAGUAGGGCAAUUACAUAUCAUUAAUUUCAUUCUCUCCCAAACUUGUGCAACAUGUUCAUGAUCAAGUUGCUUAAAAUUCAUAAUAUCGUUUCUAAGAGAGAUGAUCUUAGCGGAAGGAAAAUACUUAGAGAUAAAAGCAUCUUUGCACUUAUUCCAUGAAUCAAUACUAUUUUUAGGCAAAGACGUAGACCAAGCUUUAGCACAAUCUCUAAGCGAAAAAGGAAAUAGCUUCAAUUUAACAAUAUCAUUAUCAACAUCUUUCUUCUUUUGCAUAUCACACAAAUCAACGGAGCUAUUUAGGUGAGUAGCGGCAUCUUCGCUAGGAAGGCCGGCGAAUUGAUCUUUCAUGACAAGAUUCAACAAAGCAGCAUUGAUUUCACAAGAUUCAGUAUCGGUAAGAGGAGCAAUCGGAGUGCUAAGGAAAUCGUUAUUGUUGGUAUUGGUAAAGUCACAUAAUUUGGUAUUACCUUUAGCCAUCGUGACAAACAAGCAAUCCAACACACGAGCAAACAAAAAGCAAGCGGAAAAGAGGCAAACGGAAAAGAGAGGGCGAAUAAAACGGUAAGGGUGAAGUGGGGGAGAGGAAAACGAGAGGCAAAUGGCAAAUAAUGUAAUGCGGGAGAUAAGGGAUUGUGAUGGGUACUUGGUAUGUUGACUUUUGCGUAGACCUCCCCGGCAACGGCGCCAGAAAUCCUUCUUGCUACCUCUUGAGCACUGCGUUGGUUUUCCCUUGAAGAGGAAAGGGUGAUGCAGCAAAGUAGCGUAAGUAUUUCCCUCAGUUUUUGAAAACCAAGGUAUCAAUCCAGUAGGAGGCUACGCGCGAGUCCCUCGUACCUACACAAAACAAAUAAAUCCUCGCAACCAACGUGAUAAGGGGUUGUCAAUCCCUUCACGGUCACUUACGAGAGUGAGAUCUGAUAGAUAUGAUAGGAUAAUAUUUUUGGUAUUUUUAUGAUAAGAUGCAAAGUAAAAAGCAAAAGGAAAUAAAUAAGUGUUGGAAGAUUAAUAUGAUGAAGAUAGACCCGAGGGCCAUAGGUUUCACUAGUGGCUUCUCUCAAGAGCGUAAGUAUUUUACGAUGGGUGAACGAAUUACUGUUGAGCAAUUGACAGAACUGAGCAUAGUUAUGAGAAUAUCUAGGUAUGAUCAUGUAUAUAGGCAUCACGUCUGAGACAAGUAGACCGACUCCUGCCUGCAUCUACUACUAUUACUCCACUCAUCGACCGUUAUCCAGCAUGCAUCUAGAGUAUUAAGUUCAUGAAAACAGAGUAACGCCUUAAGCAAGAUGACACGAUGUAGGGGGAUAAAUUCAUGCAAUAUGAUAAAAACCCCAUCUUGUUAUCCUCGAUGGCAACAAUACAAUACCUGCCUUGCUGCCCCUACUGUCACUGGGAAAGGACACCGCAAGAUUGAACCCAAAGCUAAGCACUUCUCCCAUUGCAAGAAAGAUCAAUCUAGUAGGCUAGACCAAACUGAUAAUUCAAAGAGACUUGCAAAGAUAACCAAUCAUACAUAAAAGAAUUCAGAGAAGAUUCAAAUAUUGUCCAUAGAUAAUCUUUAUCAUAAACCCACAAUUCAUCGGUCUCAACAAACACACCGCAAAAAGAAGAUUACAUCGAAUAGAUCUCCACGAGAGAGGGGAAGAACAUUGUAUUGAGAUCCAAAAAGAGAGAAGAAGCCAUCUAGCUACUAACUAUGGACCCGAAAGUCUGAAGUAAACUACUCACACUUCAUCGGAGAGGCUAUGGUGUUGAUGUAGAAGCCCUCCGUGAUGGACGCCCCCUCGGGCGGAGCUCCGGAACAGGCCCCAAGAUGGGAUCUCGUGGAUACAGAAGGUUGCGGCGGUGGAAUUAGGUUUUUGACUCCUGUUCUGAUCGUUUGGGGGUACGUAGGUAUAUAUAGGAGGAAGGAGUACGUCGGUGGAGCAACAGGGGGCCCACGAGGGUGGAGGGCGUGCCCUGGGGGGUAGGCGCGCCCCCCUACCUCGUGGCCUCCUGGAAGCUUCUCUUACGUAGGGUCCAAGUCUCCUGGAUCUUGUUCGUUCCAAAAAUCACGCUCCCGAAGGUUUCAUUCCCUUUGGACUCCGUUUGAUAUUCUUUUUCUGUGAAACUCUGAAAUAGGCAAAAAACAACAAUUCUGGGCUGGGCCUCCGGUUAAUAGGUUAGUCCCAAAAAUAACAUAAACGUGAAUAAUAAAGCCCAAUAAUGUCCAAAACAGAAGAUAAUAUAGCAUGGAGCAAUCAAAAAUUAUAGAUACGUUGGAGACGUAUCACCCCCGCACUAAGCGUCGGGCCGCAUUGUAAGUGCUAAGACUCGUACAUGCCCAUAGAUCUAACCUCUCCUCCUUUUCGUAUUGACAUGGUCAAUCAUGCUAUUACAGCCCGGCCCACGACAGGUCCCAACGAUCCUCAUCAGAGGGUUCGUUGGACUCGAAGGAGAUGGCCAGCGAGACACCGCCGGCCGCUUACUCUCCCAAGGCCAAGGGAGACGACGAGGUCCUCUCCCAAUGGACCUUCCCAGGCUGGGGAGAGGCGCCAGAAGGCGAAGCCCCCGUCGCCGAAUGAUAACCCACAAGUAUAGGGGAUCAAUUGGAGCCUCUUUCGAUAAGUAAGAGUGUCGAACCCAACGAGGAGCUAAAGGUAGAACAAAUAUUCCCUCAAGUUCUAUCGACCACCGAUACAACUCGACGCACGAUUGACGUUCACUUUACCUACAACAAGUAUGAAACUAAAAGUACUUUGUAGGUGUUUUUGGAUAGGUUUGCAAGAAUAUAAAGAGAGCGUAAAUAAAAAGUAGGGGCUAUUUAGAUAAAGACACAAUAAAGUAAAUAUAGAGAGUGUGGAAAAGUGGUGGUAGGAGUUGCGAAAUUGUCCCUUAAGCAAUUGACUACUUUACUAGACCGAUAGCAAGUUUUAUGUGGGAGAGGCCACUGCUAGCAUGUCAUCCCUGACUUGGAAUUCUAUGCACUUAUGAUUGGAACUAUUAGCAAGCAUCCGCAACUACUAACGUUCAUUAAGGUAAAACCCAACCGUAGCAUUAAGAUAUAUUGGUCCCCCUUCAAUCCCGUAUGCACCAAUUUCUAUGCUAGGUUGAAGCUUCUGUCACUCUUGCCCUCCAAUACAUAGUCCUAUCAACAUACAACUAACCCUAUGGUGUGAUCCACGUGCGCGCUCAUAUGAUGGGCACCAAAGGACAGCAACAUAACCACAAGCAAAUUAAAUCAAUCAUAGCAAUUCAUCAACCACCGAUAGGAUAACGAAAAUCUACUCAGACAUCAUAGGAUGGCAACACAUCAUUGGAUAAUAAUAUGAAGCAUAAAGCAGCAUGUUCAAGUAGAGGGUACAACGGGUUGUGGGAGAGUGGACCGCUGUAGAUAGAGGGGGGAAGGUGAUGGAGAUGUUGGUGAAUAUGGCGGAGGUGUUGGUGAAGAUCGCGGUGAUGAUGAUGGCCCCCCGGUGGCACUCCGGCGCCACCGGAAGCGAGGGGGAGAGAGCCCCCCUUCUUCUUCUUCUUCCUUGACCUUCUCCCUAGAUGGGACGAGGGUUUCCCCUCUAGUCCUUGGUCUCCAUGGCGUGAAAGGGGAGAGAGCUCCUCCGAGAUUGGAUCUGUCUCUCUGUCUCUCUCUGUUUCUGCGCUCUGUUAUUCUGCCCUUUCACCGUUUCUUAUAUAUCCGGAGAUCCGUAACUCCGAUUGGACUGAAACCUUCACCGAGAUUUUUUUUCCAAAAAUUAGCUUUCUUGUGGCCAAAGAAGAGCAGCAACCGCCUUUCGGGGGGCCCACGAGGGGGGCAGGCGCGCCCCCUGCCUCGUGCCCCCCUCGGGCACCGUCUCACGUUGAUUCUUCUUCUCAUAUUCUCCAAAUAUUCCAAAAAUAUUCUCCAUCCGUUUUUAUCCCGUUUGGAUUCCGUUUGAUAUGAGGUUUCUGCGAAACAUAAAACAUGCAACAAACAGGAACUGGCACUGGGCACUGGAUCAAUAUGUUAGUCCCAAAAAUAGUAUAAAAAGUUACCUAAAGUAUAUGAAAGUUGUAUAAUAUUGGCAUGGAACAAUCAAAAAUUAUAGAUACGACGGAGACGUAUCACCGAACACCAGGGGGAGUCAAUUCCCAUGGAGACUGGGGAUGAGGGCCGUAUUCAAUUCGGCCCUCGACCGGACUCGAUUCCGGAGACCGAUGCGGCUCCGGGAUCCGGCACGCAGCCUCCUUCGAAAGAAGGGGGUAUGCCUAUUCCACCGAUGACCCCUGUCCAACCAGGGGCACCAGAUAAUCUGCUGGAAGCGCUACGAGGCGCUUCCAUUGUGGACGAGCACCGUGUUCUUAUGGGCACGGUGAUUGAAAGAGUUCAGUCCGCCAACAGCGGACUGACCGAAGCCUGCAGCAGCCUGCUGACAGGUUUUGAGGUAAGCGACGAAAAAGGAGAAAAUCCCAAUAUAGACAGUAGCCCCUGAGACACUGUCCGGUAUCCGGAAAGAAGAGACCGGACAGAGGAUCAAUCCCUGAUGGCAGGAAACUAACUAAACUUGUCUGAAAUGAAUACGCAGGCGUCGCUGUUGGUCACGGCCUCACAUACUGCCGAAGUCUCAGGACUGCGGUAGAUACUGGAGCAGGCCGAGGAGGAGCUUGGUUGGGUGAGAAGGCAGCUCCAAGAAAAACAAGGUAUGUGAUAACCCGUUUUAUAUUUAAGAAGGUAAAAUGAUAUGCGUUGACUGAAGUGUCAAGAUAUAUAUAGGAGCGACGACCGAGGUCGAGGCCCUGAAGGAGGCCCUGGCCGAAGCCGAGGGAAAGGCCGUCAAGGAGCAGGCCGCACGUAAGAAGCUCAAGGCCCGGGUCAACGAGGUUCAACAAGAGCUCCAGGACACGGUGAAGAAGUGCGAGACCUUGGAGCGUGACGCGUUGGUUCGAGAGACCGAACUCGCCAAGGCUUGUCAGAGCGCGGAGACGGCCCGGAAUGAGGCCCAGGGCACCCUCCAAGAGAUCCAGGAGGCCAGGAAGAUCGCGGCGGGUAAGGCAUUUAGUAUGCAAAGCAAGUAUAUGAAGAAGAAGUAUUUCUUACUAACCCGGAUUCGGAGUUCUCCAGGAGCCUACGCAGAUAUGCCGUGUAGUGUGUCCGGUGCCGUGGAAUUCUUUCGAGCCGAAGAAGGGAGCUCCACGAAGAAAUUGUUCUGGUCGCAGUAUCUUGCGCCAGAGCAUCCCGUGCCCUUCACCCAACAGCUGAAACAGCUGGUGGAGCUGCAUAGGGUGGCCGAACUAGCCAUGAAGGAUUUGAUAAUUCGGCUAUGGCCAGCCGAAGCUAUGCCCGGUAGCUACUUCGGACUCGUGAAGCGGCUGGUGAACGCAUGUCCUCGGUUGGACAUUGUCAAGCAAUCGGCCUGUAUUGAAGGUGCGCGCAUGGCCUUCGCCCGUUGCAAGAUGUGGUGGGCGAAGAUGGACGCCGUCGAGGUGGCCACGGGGCCGCCAGAGGGCAAGGAGCACCGCAGACCCGAGCGCUAUUUUGCGGAUGUCCUAGAAGGGUCUCGCAUUGUGGCAACGCAGUGUGGGCAGGACAUUAUUUUCGAAUGAAUAUAUUCGUAUUGUCUUUGCCUUGUAUGAUGAAACAAAGUUGGUUUGUAAUAUAAUGCUUGAUAUGUUUUAAUUUUUUCCUCCUGUGCGGCCGUGUUGUAUGAAAUCUGGGGGUUGGCCAGUCGUCGGCUUCUGCCCCCACGUAGAUAGUACGGAGGUGUUCGGGAUGGAAUCUAAACAAUCUUGAUCUAAUUAUAUGGUCCUUGAAGGAGUUGUUUAGCGCAACGAACCAAGCAAUCAGACUAUGCGGCUUAAACGCCCUCACUUAGCCAUAGGAGUUUUACAAUAAAACAUGGGCGCAACCCCUGGUAUUCGAACCAGAUUGCUAUGAGCGUUUGAUCGGGAAGUACCGAUCCUUCGCGUAAAUCUCCAACGAUUUGCAACCUCCGAACAGCUGACCGGCUCUCGCCGUAUCAUGACAGUCAGUUUUCGGCUUUCUCUACUGAGGUGCUCCUUUGGAUAAACCAGGGCACAAUCGCAGCAGUUCUCCUUUUACUACCUUAGCCGAUAUAGGGGAACGUAAGGUAGCAAGCACAGGAGCCGGGCAACCCAACUAUUGACCAAAGACAUGAUUCGGAGCCAAUGCAAGAUUCGGGGUGCUGAGCUAUACUCUAAAAGUGUUCAGUCUUUUGUUGCCAUGUUGUGGGGUGCUAUAAAGCCCCUGGCAAGGUGGAACACACCGAGUGUACGGGUGUUAUCUGAUAGAAUUACCAGGAAGGAAAAAUGCAAGAACAAAGAAAGAGGAAGAACCAGUGGUAAGCUAAAGUCGUGGAAAUUUAGGCCGCAAACUGUUUCUAUUAUAAUUUCAUUGGUGCGUUAAAGCGCGUGCGUACAAGUGGUGCAAUAAGCAGAAAGGCUAUUUACUAUGCCUUCACCAAGAGAGAGCUGCGUAUGGGUCCUGAAAAACAGGUAGAGUGAUCGUUUAACGAAACCACCUAGAGAAGUCCCCCAUAUCUCUGCGGCUCUCCCGUGCCGAACUUGUACAAUACCAUCCAACAGGGUCAACUGACCGCUCUUAUUCUUGCCGUCUUGGCGUGCUUUUUGAGAGGAUCCAUGUUCAGGCCAUCGGAUGGGGUCUGCGGGAUUGAGACCUGAAAGGAAAAAGUGAAAGUGAAAGUAUGUGUGUAUCCGAUGCUGGUUGAGCCGCACUGUGGACCACAAGCUAGUUGUGCCUCCGUCGAUGCCCAUGGAAUUUCGAGUGCGUAGUUAUGUACGCGCGGCGCGAAUGCCACCGCUUGAUCGGGACUGAGACGGAGGCCGGAUUGCUAAUCGAGCUCCUGGCGAGUCGAGUUGUCCUGCUGCAGGGUAGUUCGGACCCUCUUAACGGUGUAUGUGGGCUCGACAGCCCCAUUAGGGUUCUGCUUGAGAAGGCCGCUCUGUACUUCUGCUGCUAAGACAGCUGUGUGCUCCUCUGUAUGGAGGGAGCGUUCAAAGUUUCCGUUAACCGUGAUGACGCCGCGUGGACUGGGCAUCUUGAGCUUAAGAUAAGCAUAGUGUGGCACUGCAUUGAAUCGAGCGAAUGCAGUUCGUCCCAGCAGUGCGUGAUAGCCGCUGCGAAAGGGGACGAUGUCGAAGAUUAACACCUCACUUCGGAAAUUCUCCGGAGACCCGAAGACAACUUCUAGUGUGAUCGAGCCUGUAUAGAGAGCCUCGACACCUGGUAUGACUCCUUUGAAGGUAGUCUUUGUGGGCUUGAUCCGUGAUGGAUUGAUGCCCAUUUUUCGCACUGUAUCCUGAUAAAGCAGGUUGAGGCUGCUACCUCCGUCCAUAAGGACGCGCGUCAGGUGAAAUCCGUCAAUGAUUGGGUCGAGGACUAGUGCGGCUGAACCACCAUGACGGAUACUAGUCGGGUGAUCCCGACGAUCAAAGGUGAUCGGGAAUGACGACCAUGGAUUGAAUUUUGGGGUGACUGGCUCUAUCGCAUAGACGUCCCUCAGUGCGCGUUUGCGCUCCCUUUUGGGGAUGUGUGUAACAUAUAUCAUGUUCACUGUUUUCACUUGAGGGGGAAAUUUUUUCUGUCCCCCUGUGUUUGGUUGCCGGGGCUCCACGUCGUCAUCCUCGCUUUGUGAUCCCUUUUCCCUGUUCUCGGCGUUUAAUUUGCUGGCCUGUUUAAAAAUCCAACAAUCUGUGUUGGUAUGAUUGGCUAGUUUAUCCGGGGUGCCAUGUAUCUGGCACGGGUGAUCGCUAGAUGGUCCCUGAUUAUUUCUCUUGUACGGUUUCUUCCGCUGGCUGGACUUGGAGCCGCUGAAUCCGGCGUUGACUGUAGUGUCGUCGGUAUUAUCCCCAUUGUUUCGGCGUUUGUGUCUGUUACGUCGAAGCUUGCCGUUGCUGUUCUUAACCUCAGAGGGUCCUGCCUCGCUGGCUGUAUUUUUGCUAUGAGCCAACCAACUAUCCUCACCCGCGCAAAAGCGGGUCAUGAGUGCCGUGAGGGCUGCCAUAGAUUUUGGCUUUUCUUGGCCGAGGUGGCGGGCGAGCCAUUCGUCGUGGAUGCUAUGUUUAAAGGCCGCUAGGGCUUCGGCGUCCGAACAGUAGACGAUCUGGUUCUUUUUAGUUAGGAACCUUAUCCAGAACUUCCUGGCUGACUCCCCGGGUUGUUGAACUAUGUGGCUUAAGUCAUCGGCGUCUGGUGGCCGGACAUAUGUACCUUGGAAGUUGUCGAGGAAGGCCUCUUCCAAGUCCUCCCAGCUGCCAAUAGAAUUCUCGGGCAGGCUGUUUAACUAGUGUCGAGCUGGUCCUUUAACCUUUGGCCGAAGGUAUUUGAUAGCGUGGAGGUCAUCUCCCCAGGCAAUGUGGAUGUGGAGGAUAAAGUCCUUGAUCCAUACCGCGGGAUCAGUUGUCCCUUCGUAUGAUUCAAUAUUCACGGGUUUAAACCCUUCGGGGAAUUCUUGAUCCAUUACUUCAUUGGUGAAGCAAAGAGGGUGUGCUACGCCUCUAUAUCGGGCCGCGUCGCGACGUAGUUCCGAUGGAGUCCGUCUAUGGUUGUCGGCCCGGGUGUGACUAGGUUUGUCACGUCUGAAUAGGUAGCCAGUAUCACGUGUCAAAGAACGUCCCCGCGAUCCGUAAAUCGAUCGGGUGUAUCCUGCUCUGCUAUCCAGGGUCUGCCGGAGGUCAUAUGUAUGACCCCAAACUGUUUUGUCUCUGUUUUUUCAUGGCGGCUGGGCGGGCUGCUGUUCGGCUUGAGUUGCCGCUCUAUCCCGACCACGAGGUGGUCGGUCCGCCGCACUGUCCCGAUUGCGUAGUGUUCGGCCGGCCGCAUUACGCUAGGGAGGUAUGUGCUCCGGUGCCUCUUCAUCGAACUGAGGUAGCAACCUUCGCUUCGGGUAACUCUUCGCUGGGCGUCUGAGGCCGUGUUCUUCGGCGGCCAGGACAUAAGUCCAUCUGUCGACGAGCAGAUCUUGGUCAGCUUGAAGCUGUUGUUGCUUCUUUUUUAGGCUCCUUGCGGUGGCUAUUAGCUGGCGCUUGAAGCGCUCCUGCUCGAGAGGUUCCUCAGGCACGAUGAAAUCUUCGUUGCCGAGGAUUUCCUCAUCCUCAGAGAGCGGACAAUAACUACCGUCCUCCGAGUCAUUGGGCCUGGCCUGUUCGUCGGGGUUAGCUUGCCCGUUUUCUUGCUCCUCCUGUUCGGAUGUUACCUCCGCAAGGUCUUCAUUAUUUUCGGCAUCGUCCGGAGUAUUAUUUUCUUCGGUGCCAGAAUUGCUGUCUUUUGAACAACGUGACUUAGAGCGGCGUCGAGGACGCUGGCGUUUUUGCUGUGUCUCAGGAGGUUUAUUCUCGACUGGAUUUUCUUUGUCAUCGCCGUUGGUUGUUUUGGGUGUGUCCACCAUGUACACAUCGUACGAAGAGGUGGCCGUCCAGCGUCCGGUGAACGGUGGAUUUUGAUUUUGCUCCUCAUCAGCAUCGUUGUCCAUACCGUCGAUGUCUUCGGAGCCGUAAUCAAGCGUGUCGGUUAAAUCCUCGACUGUGGCUAUGAAGUGGGUGGCGGGUGGGAAGCAAGAUUCUCCUUCAUCAGCCCCUAGUUCGAACCGAAUAUAGUUCGGCUGUGAGUCCCCCGCCAAGGACAUGCUCUUUAAUGAGUUUAGCACAUCGCCCAAGGGCGAGUGCUGGAACAUGUCUGCGGCGCUGAACUCGAAGAUCGAUAAGCGAUCAAGUUCGGCAUCUGCGGGCUCACAUGGUUCGGAACUUGCGCCCGGAGACGAGUCCGGAGUUUCAGAAACACAAAUAUUGUGUGAGGUUAAGUCCAUGUGCGGCUCCAACGCCGGGGAAUCUGUGGCCUCCGCGGUGGGGUUGAGCCUCCAAUCCUUGGACGGCGCUGUAUGCUCCGGAUCUAAGGCCAAAGCAGUUACAGGGGCUAUCUCCUGGAUACGGUUUGACGACAGAUUUAAGUCAUGGUCAUCAAGGUGACCAGGAGUGGUUGCCGCGGUCUCGAAUCCGGUGAAGAUCAAAUCUCCACGGGCGUCCGCGACGUAGUUCAAGCUCCCAAAUCUGACCUGAGGGCCAGGGGCGUAGCUAUCGAUCUGCUCCAGGUGGCCAAACGAGUUGGCCCGCAAUACGAAGCCGCCGAAUACGAAGAUCUGUCCGGGGAGAAAGUUUUUUCCUUGGACAGCGUCAUUGUUGACGAUUGAAGGGGCCAUCAAACCUUUUGGGGACGGCACAGUGGAACUCUCAAUGAAAGCACCAAUGUUGUUGUCAAAACCGGCGGAUCUCGGGUAGGGGGUCCCGAACUGUGCGUCUAAGGUCGAUGGUAACAGGAGACAGGGGACACGAUGUUUACCCAGGUUCGGGCCCUCUCUAUGGAGGUAAUACCCUACUUCCUGCUUGAUUGAUCUUGAUGAAUAUGAGUAUUACAAGAGUUGAUCUACCACGAGAUCGUAAUGGCUAAACCCUAGAAGUCUAAUAUGUAUGACUAUGGUAAUGAGCAUAUCCUCAUCCGGACUAAGUCCUUCGGUUUAUAUAAGCACCAGGAGGAUCUAGGGUUACACAGGGUCGGUUACAAGGAAGGGAAUCUACAUAUUUGGUCGCCAAGCUUGCCUUCCACGCCAAGGAGAGUCCCAUCCGGACACGGGUGUAGUCUUUGGUCUUCGUAUCUUCACAGCCCAUCAGUCCGGCCCAUGGCUAACAGGCCGGACGCCCGAGGACCCCUUAGUCCAGGACUCCCUCAGUGCCACCACAGCAAGGAGCACUGUCAGUAUCCUCCGGCGAGCCGGUAUCUCUCCGCCUCCCAGCUGACUGCGCCUCCGGCCGGAGCCCGCCUCUACUGCCGCGAGCCAGCCGUCGUGAGCCGUGUCAUGUGACCGUGAGCCCGUCACUGAGGAAAAACGGAAGGGAAAAGAAACUGUAAGACACCGAGGGGUGGGCUCCAUUGGUCACCGUCUGUAUAAACAUUUUCAUUGGAAUUCUUUUGCAUUCUCGUUGUUAUAAUUCUUCUUCCACCGAAUAUCCAUUUCUAAGCACAGGCUCAUCUGCACCUGGUCAAGAAUUUUUUGUAAGAAAAUCUAACCUUUUCUUGCAUGGUAGAUAAUUUGAUGCGUGGGGUGCUCUCCAAAUUUCAGAUCAUCUGAACAUAUGUGUAGCUCUUAGCAAAAAAAACAAAUUAGGUUAGAACAAUACAUGAAUAGUAAUUAUUUUACCGACCUUAAAUUUGUUUUUUUUACCGAGGCUACUUAGAUGUCCAAAUGAUCUGAAAUUUUGAGCGCAGCUCAUGCACUAAAUUAUCUACCAUGCAAAAAAUAUAUAUUUUCAGAAUUUUUCUAGUAUCUUUUUCAAUUUUUUUUAUGCAUUGCGGGUGGAGAAGAGCCUGGCCACCGAAUCGCAGCUCUCUUCUUCCACCGUAUUCUAUAUUCUUAGAAGAUCCCCACUAACAACAUUUUUCUUAUGUACAGUGUCCACGUCAGCAUAAUGUCACGUCAGUGUUCUCUCAACAUGUAAGCCUCCACCUCAACAAACAAACAAAAAAUCAUCGAAUCAUUAGGUUCCAAUGUGAGUGGGAUCAAUCUCUGAUCAUAGAGCGUAACCCUGUCUAUUCACCUCGACACAAUUAGCUGGUACGAUGUGGCGCACGUUGUUUCUUCCGGCUUCUAGAGCUUCGUAAUCAAAUCCAUUUUCUUUUGGAAGCCUGAAUGACCAGGCUGCCUCCACUUCCCCUCCUUGUCCAUGCUCCUCCCCCAUGUCUAUAAUAGCGGCGUGGGUCUGAUUUCCAUGUAGGACGCUCCUCUACAAGGCCGUCGGUCUGGCUUGUCACAUAGCUUCAGCCGAAGGAUGAGAAAGAGCUUAUCGCACAACUUCUUAGGAUUUCUUGUGUAUUCUAAGAUUCUCUUCCGAGCAACCGGAUUAUAAGAUAACUCAUCGAGAUUAAUUUCUUUCUCAAUAGAAGCUUCGAGAGACUAGCCGCGGUGACAUUUUUUCACAAAAAAAGUUGCGGUGAUAUUUGAUGCACUUUGCCUACGAUCUACUGGGUGACCUUGAAGUCCCUCCGUCAUUAUCACUGGUGACCAAUUUCUAUUUGGAUCAUACCUUUCAUAGCCUAGAUCAAUCAAAAUCCAUUGAUAAAAACAUCAGAAAACAAUGGCAAAAAAAUUCAUUAUCAUGCUAGGCUACUAGGCUAGAUUGAACAUGCACAAGAGGAAGAAGAUGUGGCAAUAUUAGUAUUCUUUUUAGAAAAGGAGGAAGACCCCCGGCCUCUGCAUCUGGACGAUGCAUGCAACCAUUUUAUUAAUUAUUCACACAAGACCUUACAAAGUAAUACAAUAGUAAGACUAAAAGCCACCGUCUAGGCAACAUCUGUCGCUACUCCUAUCAAAUUGAUGAAGGGAUGCUGAUAGUCUGAGGCUAAUACCAAACAGACAUCGCAGUCAACCCUAACAUCUAAGACCUGAGGUCCCAACCAGGACGCCUGCUGGGUAUGAGGCCGCCGCAGCCACCUGCCACCAAUCCAUAUUCAGAGCUGUACUGCUGCAUCUACCUUGCCCGGUCUAGCUGCCGUCGACGCCACCACGACGCCAGACUGCGUCACCCUCCUGCGCGAGUCCAUCAUCGCACAUCAGACGCCUAAUCUCCAGAGCGCCAUGCCAUCAAGAUUGUCACCAUCAAUGUGCAUGAUGAAGCACCGCUCCACCAAAGACGUCGUCCACUGGUCCCUCGAGCCCGCGUACACCUCCAAGAAAGACGCCCCCAAGGGGGAAACGACACAAACGUGCCGUCGUCUUCUGAUCUAUCGAUAUAGGGUUUCCCCCGGAGGUAGUAGAUCAUAGUCUAGAACUUCUCCACGGCGAUGCCUUCAAGAAGGGAACAACACCAUAGAGCGCCACCACCGCCGGAUUUGGCAUCUAACCAAGAGCAGGUUUUCACCCAGGUCUGUUCGAAGAACUCUAUCCACUUCUUGUGCACGGACCGCCGCCUUCUCUGUCAAAGACUAGACCAAGGGUCCAGCCGUCGCCAUCAGCAUCGGGAGAUGACGACAGUCUCCCUGUACCGGAGCUAGCACCAACCAAAGCAGAUCAAGUCGGAGACGAUGAUGCCCUUGGAUCUGCGGCAGACCAGCGAGCCGUCGGCCCCACCCCGUCCAGAACGCCGGCCACGCCGGGCCGCCGGCACCCCCCGUGUCGUCCGGGUCGGAGAGGGAGCCGCCGACCGCGCACAAGGGCCACUGCCGCCUGCACACGCCGGAGCGCCACCGCCUACCGAGACCCGCCGCCACGCGCCCCACGCCCCGCCACCGCGAGUGCCGCAGGACACCGCCGCCUGCCGCCUAGAUUUGAUGCCCGUGGAGGAAGGGGAGUCGGAAGAGGAAGUCCCCCCGCCGCCGCCGUCAGCCACGCGGGUUUCACCCGGCGGCGGCGCGAGGAGGGGAGGGGGAGAGGGUGGCGGCGGCGCCUAGGGUUGGAGAGCCCCCGAGUCACCCAGGGCGGGAGCGACGCGAGGGGUUUGCGGAUGCAUACGGCCAUUUUAAUAUGAGUACCAAGAUAAACAUAGUCCUCAAUUUUUUUAAAUGAGUAUCAAGAUAUUUUUUGAUGAGUGGUUCGACCACACACCAAACUUGAUCCUCAAUAAAUGUGGAAAAAUGCCUGUGCAUCACUUGUCAAUUUUAGGAAUUGAACUCGGGUCGUUAGGGCAUGUACAAUGGUUGAUAAGAUAGUCCUAUCUUAUGUCUUGCAUGUGAUUUAGAGAUGACAAAAGAACAUGUCUACAGUGGGUCAUAUCUUAGCCUUAUCUUCAAUAAGUAGCUAUUCCUAAAAACGUGAUGAGACAUAUUGUGCUAAGAGAUCAUCUCUUGCCUUCUCUUAAAUAAGAAAAGACAACUCUUUUCUUAUGUUUUCUCUCUCCUCCACCUUAUUAUUUAUCCUACGUGGCAUAUCUAAGAUAGAAUCAUUGUACAUGCCCUUAGGCUGCCCAACCGCAUGCCCAACCAUUGAGCCAAGGCUCUCUUUGUGCAGGCAAUAUUAGUUACUUUAAUAUUUGGGCUACAAUUGCCGGCUUGCCACCAUGGAUCUGCAGUGAUCUAUUUACCCCUGGUGUCCACCAACCGAGCUAUACACAAACACACGAGAGGUGCGAGUUGGAAAAAAAAUCAACAGACAAGAGACCAGGCAUGCAACUGCCAUGCCUAUACAAUAAAGUAAUCAAGUCACAGUUUAGGCAUAUGCAUAGAGUCAUUUGAUCUGGGCUUUAGGCCUUCUGUUUAGCUGUCCACGUCACAUUAUUUGAUGGGAUUAUUAUAGACUUUUUAUCGGUACAAAUCAAGAAAAUACAUACCUAUAUGUAGGGUGGCCAAGAAAAUCCGUUGGGUUCACUUGAACCCAACAUUUCUACGCUGGCUCUGCCGCUGCGCUCGCCCUCACUGCCACCAGGUGCAUCGUUCUCACUCAUCAGCCUCAGCUCAUGUGUCGAUAAUAUCCGAGUUCCACCCUUCCUCGGUGCAGCUGCGAACAUGCUCGACGCUGUCGGCAUGCCCGGAGAUGCCGUAAAUUCUCAAUACACCAUGUAUAUAUGAUUUAUAUGAUACAAAUGAUAAUUACAAGAUACAUAUACUCAACCGUAAACAAUUAUUAAANNNNNNNNNNNNNNNNNNNNNNNNNNNNNNNNNNNNNNNNNNNNNNNNNNNNNNNNNNNNNNNNNNNNNNNNNNNNNNNNNNNNNNNNNNNNNNNNNNNNNNNNNNNNNNNNNNNNNNNNNNNNNNNNNNNNNNNNNNNNNNNNNNACAUUAUGUUCUGCAAAUCAUAGAUGACAAAACUUUAGUAGUUAAACAUGCAAUUAAUUUGUGUGUCUGUAAUGUCGUUUGUUUGCAGGAGACUAAACGUAUACACUGUGAUCAGAACUUUACUUGAUCCUUUUGUCGUCGUAGGCUUGAUAAAUUUGCUUAUAUUCCCUCUUGAGGCGCCUCUGGUGGCUUACUGACGAUUUGGAAUAGUUUUGUUCUUGAUGGAACAAUGAUUUCUUUGGAUCUUUUUGCUCUCUGUAUUUCGUUCGUAUCGAAAAGUGCAGGCAACACUUGGAAACUGUAAAACAUAUAUGCCCCCUGUUGCCGUGAAGAUUGCCAAUUAUUCACUGACCGGUUAUAUGCCCUGACAUCCCUGAUACCGACGACUUGUUGCUAGUUGGAGACUACAACUUUAUCGGGUCCACUGAAAACCGCAACAAACCCGACGGCAAUGUGGAUGAUAUCCUGCUUCUGUUCAUCAUCUCCGGGAGAGGUAUUAGGUGUGUGUAAAAAGCAUUAUUAUUUCAGUGGUUUUCUUUUUGAAUUAAAGAGCGAUUCACUCACAAUUUUCAUUUCAUAAAACUGAUUAAACAAACAAGAUUCAGCAAUCACCGCAAACAUAUAGUUCAAUCAAAUCAUCUACCUAUCCACUACGAGCCUCCCAAGAAACAAACAUCACCCGAUCAGACCAUAUUAAUACAAACCAAAAAGCAGGUGACAAAACCACGUUCAAUUAGUUGUAACAAGCGAUUGUUUCAAUGGUUUUAUUACCAUUUCAAUUGUAAAUGAGCUUAUUUUCCACCGAUACUCAGCCGGGCAUAAAGUAAUCCACAUCAUACAUACAAAUACUGUGGGCAUCAGGUAUCGCUAUAUUAUAUUCGUAUUCACAACAACUUAGAUAUUAUCAUAUUUCUGUACAUACUCGGUCAAAUCAGAAGAAGAAAAUUGACUUGGAACAAACCUAGAACUUCAGUCUAUUUGAAAUGGUAGGAGUGCCUUGGAGGGGUGGUUGCCAGGUUGCCACACUUAGGCCGCUCCAGAGAGGUAACACUAGGAGAAGGUACGUACAAAUGAAACCUCUAGUAGGUCUACGCCAACAUUGGUGCAUUGCAUCAAAUUCUGCUACUUGUCUAUACAAUAGCUUUGCAACAAUCAACUAGUGAUCUACGAGUAGAAUUGGUAUAUCUUGGCCUCCAUGAUGAUCUGUCUUAGCCCUCCAAUGGGCCCAAGCACCAUCAGCAGCACCCCACCAACGAUGCAGAACUGAAGAGAAUGGAAACACAAAAGAUAAAAUAAAAUUGGAUGAUCAAAUGAGAGAUGUCUAUUGCAGGCACACAGGAUAAAAAAGAAAGAUACUCCCUCGGAUCAAUAUUAUUUGUCGCUCAAACAUAUGUAUCUAGACAGAGGGAGUACUAACUAUUCAUUCAGUUGAUCUUACCCAGUUGGUGCACCAUGAGAGGCUGAAUACCCUGGGCUUGUAAACCGUGAGCCAGAUGAUGCAGGGAAGCUGGUCCGAACAAGAAGUUAGUUCUGAUUAGCUCUGAAUUCAUAUUUGCUUUAAUGGAAUUGGAAUGGACCCGGAUGGAAUGCUUACGAAAUAAGUUGUGGGCGCAAAGGCGAGCCCGCCGAAGAAUCCGAUAAGCCCACCGAAGAAGGGGAAGGUGAUGCCUACGAACAUUGUGAACGCUGCGCAGAUUUGUAUCCCAUUAGUCAUGUUUGUUUGGGACGAUUUUUUUGGUUUAAUUAACUGGAAGCAAGUGAGUUCGCUUGUGACAAGCGCAUCAGGGCAUUACCAACAAAGAGGCUCCGAGAAACCAAACGGAGCUUCCAACCGGGAGAGAAACGCAUCUUCCUCACCAGCACCAUUUCCAUCAUGUCGAACACCGGCAUCGCAUAAACCUGAGAUGAGAAGGGUCGUCUCCCAUGUUAAAAAAGUCUUAAUUAUGUACACAUGACAUUUAAAAAAACUAAUGACUGCGUGAGUGGCUGGGAGGACGCGUACGUGUACCUGGUAGCUACCAAUGACAUGGACGACGACCAUCAUGUUGGCGGCGGCGAUGAGCCACUUGGGCGUGUUGAGGGUGAUGAGGAUGUUGUCGUCGACGCUAUUGCCGAAGGCCCAAUAACCGACGAAAGCGACCGGGAAGUAGCAGAGCAAGACGAUGGUGUAGGCCACGAUCACGCCCUUCCACAUGGGCUUCUUGGACGGCGUGUCCGCCGUGGACGGGAUGGAGGCCUGGAUCUCCAGCACGACGUUAUGGCCUGAGAAGGAGAAGGCCAUCUGUCCCAGGCCUCCCAGGAAGUCGAACACCAUCCCCGAGGUAGUGGAUGCCCGUAGGCUGUAGUCCACGCCGUCCGCCUUCCCCUUGUCCACCGAGGCGCCCCAAGCAAUCGUCGAGUAGCUGUGGCGUUUGUUUGUCCAUACGUCUCAAUGUCAGUGGCCAUGUCUAGCACUGUCUUCGUCCGGAAUUAGUUGAUCCUCAAACGGAUGUAUCUAAAACAUCUAGAUACAUCCUUCGAGGGUCAACUAAUUCGGUACCGAGGGAGUAUUAAUUAUGGUUUUGACAAAUUGGUUUCCUAUGGUAUGUACCAGAUCGACAUGAGGGCGGCAGCAAGGGAGAUGGUGGCGAUGGAGUCGAAGUUGGGGAGCUGGGAGAUGACGAACUGGGCGGAAGCAAAGAUCAUGAUGAAGUAGGAAAGCUUUAUGUCCUUGCACCUGCCGUCGCAGACGAGGUCGUGGAACUUCUUGAGUGACUUGCCGCCGGUGAUCAUGUACACGAUGUCCAAGCUGAUCUCGACAACGAGCUGCUGCGGCACGACGAUCCACAGCCCUAGCGUCUCGCCGAACGCGUACUGCCCCAGCUCGUGAUACCUGUCGAACCGCUUCCCGGGCACCAUCUCGUGCAUCUCCACCAUUUGCCACAGCGUGUACAGCGUCAUGAUCCACGACAGGGUCAUCACCGCGACGCCGGGUCCCCUAAAACCAUCAAACAUCAGUGAAACCGACGACAUGUACAAAAUAGUAAUACAUAAUAUGGAUGCCAAUGGAGUUGAAGGUGAUCCCAUUUCCAACAGUAUGUAUGUACCAGCCGAGCUCGGACAUGGCAUAGGGUAGGGUGAGCACGCCGGCACCGACCAUGGCUGUGACAUUGUGGAAGGCCGAGUACCACCACUUGCCGUUCCUCGAUGCUGUGACCGGGAGCCAGUCGUCGAUCUUUCUCUCCUCCACAGUCCUCCAAUCCUGCUAGUUUUCACCGUUGUUGUUACCCAUUGGAAAAAAGGAUCCAAUAUCUUAUUUCAUGAAUUAAUACAAGUAUGGUAGAGCUUAUCACUGGCGGAGGGCGUGUGGAAUUGUGUCCCCGACGGGUCUCCCGGGAUCCAGUCGGUUUGAUUUUUAGGUAGAUCCUUCUAGAUUCGACCGACUUUCAUGGUCUACGGAGUUUUUACAGGCCCUUAUCGGUGUUUUCUUCUCCAAGGCUACGAUUUGCUUCGUAGAUCAUGGCUGACAGCAGCUCUUGGUCCGCAUCCGCGACCUCCCAGCCGUUGCUUCUACAAGCUCCUUGGUUUAAAAAAGUUAGCUCCGCCAAGGCGGAGGCCAACAUGCGAUAUUGAGCUAUGCUCACGACGCGCUACCGAUGGAUGCAAGAGAAAGAAGACUUCAACGCUCCCAUGAUUUUAAAUGUAAUAUUUUUUAAGGAUGUGUUUAUAAGGACCUGUGAUACUUCAUAUAUGACCUUAGGCCUUUUUUAGAGAAAGAAAGAAAGAAAGAAAUAAAGAAAGAAAGGAAGGAAGAAAGGACACAAAUUAGUGUUUGUCUAGUGGCCAAGUCAGGACUCAGGACAGAAACGAGGGAGAGGCUCAUUGAGCAAUGCUAAUGUUACCAGUAGGUGAGCAAAACAGUGUGUUUUUGUUAACUAAACUGCACAUUUGAUCAUUGAGCCAUGCUUGAAAACAACGCACGUGGAAGGGCCCACUAAAGACAACUGAUUCCUUUAUAUUCACGCAAGUUGACUUGUCAUAUUGACUAAAUGUCAAAUUAGUCGGUGUCGUCGCAUGCGUAAUCAAGGCCAACUCAUGACAAAGAUAUGUUUUUUUCUCUCUCUAUCUAGGAUGUAUAUAUUCACCUAACCACAAUGAUAUUUAUAAUACCCCAAAGAUAUUUAGUAGUACAUGGUAGUAAUUGACAUGUAGAUCUUGGAUUUGAGGGACGAUUAUCCACUGUAAAAAAAAUAUUUCACUCUUGGGCCGCAAGGAAUUUACACUUAAUAUGCAAGUACGACAAAUUUAUUGUUUACUGAAAAUAAAAAUUCCUCAAUUAAGGCAAAGCAUCACAUAUCACACCAAUUAUGUGACCAUCAUCAUGGGGUAUUUGAUGAACAUUUCGUACAUUUUCUUUGUAAAACGAAGAGAAAGGUUAAAAAAACAAACGAGUAGCAAUAUCUGGAAUCCUGCAUGCAAGUGCCAUUUAAAAAAAGGGUAACAUUUUGUCUCCAUUCUAUUCCACUUUGUCCAUCAAGGGUUUCUUUGAUUCAAAGAAUUUCUAAAUUACGUUUGGAGAAUUCUAUCCCUAUGUUUUUUUUCUACAAGGAUUGUUUGAUUCGUAGGACAACUCAUAGGAAAUAUUUUCCUUUGAAUAUACUUACAUCAGUUUACAUAGGAAAAAUUUCAUCCACUUCAACCUGAUGUGCUAAAUCUUUUGUUUUUUCCUGUGCACAAUGAAACGUCACUACUAAUCAUAAUCUACUGGAGAUGGCAUGUCAUUCUUGUAUUUAUUUUUCUGUUCUGUGUUUUAGAGAUCGUGCGAAUCAAAGAGGCUCCUAAUGUCCACCUCUAAUCCUCCUUGUUUCACACCUGUAGACAACUCUCUCUCUCUCUCUCUCUCUCUCUCUCUANNNNNNNNNNNNNNNNNNNNNNNNNNNNNNNNNNNNNNNNNNNNNNNNNNNNNNNNNNNNNNNNNNNNNNNNNNNNNNNNNNNNNNNNNNNNNNNNNNNNNNNNNNNNNNNNNNNNNNNNNNNNNNNNNNNNNNNNNNNNNNNNNNNNNNNNNNNNNNNNNNNNNNNNNNNNNNNNNNNNNNNNNNNNNNNNNNNNNNNNNNNNNNNNNNNNNNNNNNNNNNNNNNNNNNNNNNNNNNNNNNNNNNNNNNNNNNNNNNNNNNNNNNNNNNNNNNNNNNNNNNNNNNNNNNNNNNNNNNNNNNNNNNNNNNNNNNNNNNNNNNNNNNNNNNNNNNNNNNNNNNNNNNNNNNNNNNNNNNNNNNNNNNNNNNNNNNNNNNNNNNNNNNNNNNNNNNNNNNNNNNNNNNNNNNNNNNNNNNNNNNNNNNNNNNNNNNNNNNNNNNNNNNNNNNNNNNNNNNNNNNNNNNNNNNNNNNNNNNNNNNNNNNNNNNNNNNNNNNNNNNNNNNNNNNNNNNNNNNNNNNNNNGGCGGCAGGGAGGUGUGGUUCUCCGCUGGCCGCUACCCGUGUUCCCAUGGCCGGUUAGGCAGAUUUGUCUUCAACCAGCAAAGCUUCGGCAAUGGAGAGAUUUCCAAGAGGUUGGGAUUUGCGAGUGUGUAUGUAUGUCAUGCAGAAGAGGCCGGCUUAUUUGUAGAGCUGCGUGCAGCGUUAGCAUGUACUGACUGUUGACUUCAGAAGGCAAAACCUGCAGGUAACUGGAAACGGUCAUCCUCGCGUCGCUGUGACUCCCCGGCCUCCUCCCGAGCGCCAUAUGUCCGUCGCCGGUCGCCCCAUCUGGUUUCAACAGUCUACGUUUUAUUUAUUUUAUUUUUGGUGAUGAGGACCUGUAUUUAUUUAUUUAUUUUAUUACAGGAAGCGCUAGUGCAAUGACACAAUUAAUUGAGUACUCGUUUUUUCCAAAAACUGUCAAAGGGUAUAUAUUAAAUUAAGUUGAUCAACUCUUAUGAGGGCAUCUUUACAAAAAAUAAAAAUCACACAACAGUCCUCAAUACUCACCGUAGACCAGAAUACUAUUACCUGGUCCCAAUAAAUUUGUCUACAUAUAUUCGUAUCUAAACAAGUAAUUCCGAACAGAAGCGGUAGAUUUGAUACCUUGACGUUAUAAUUCAGCAAUACGGUUAGGUAUACUUGUGUAUUUACUGAGACAUGAGGUCUAAUUAAUCGAACUUAUAAUAUUUCUAAUGCAUACAAUUCAGCAAUACUCGAAUGCAUAAUUUUAAACGCCACAAUCAAACUCAUUUUUGUUUUGUUUUAAACAUGCAUGUCUCAAACCCUACUACAAAAUGUUCAUGUCACUGCAUAGUUCCAAUAAAAAGUCUGCAAAAAUGUUUGAACUUGCAAUGUAUGAACAUCUGCAAAUAAGAAAAAAAAUGAAAUUUAAGAAGAAGAAAAAAUACCAUUUAGACAAAAUGUCAAACAUCUGGUUUCAACAAUCUAUAUAAGUUUUAUUUAUUUUAUUUUUGGUGAUGACGACCUGUACUUAUUUAUUUAUUUUAUUACAGGAAGCGCUAGUGCAAUGACACAAUUAAUUGAGUACUCGUUUUUUCCAAAAAAUGUCAAAGGGUAUAUAUUAAAUUAAGUUGAUCAACUCUUACGAGGGCAUAUUUACAAAAAAUAAAAAUCAUACAACAAUCCUCGAUACUCACCGUAGACCAGAAUACUAUUACCUCCAUCCAAAAAAUUUGUCUUAGAUUUGUCUAGAUACAAAUGUAUCUAACACCAAAAUGUGUCUACAUAUAUCCGUAUCUGAACAAAUCUAAGACAUGUAAUCUGGGACAGAAGGAGUAGAUUUGAUACCUUGAUGAUUUUCCACUUGCUGCCAUUAUACGGUUAGGUUCACAUAUGCAUGUGUAUUUACUGAGACAUGAGUUAUAAUUGAUCAAACUUAUAAUAUUUCUAAUGCAUACAAUUCAGUAAUACUCAAAUGCAAAAUUUUAAACGCUACAAUUAAAAUCAUUUUUUUAACAUGCAUGUCUCAAACCUUACUACAGAAUGUUCAUGGCACUGCAUAAUUCCAAUGAAAUGUCUGCAAAAAUGUUUGAAACUGCGAUAUAUGAACAACUACAAAUAAGAAAAAUGAAAUUUAAGAUUUUUUUUUUGAGUUGUUAUAACUUCUAAUGGCAAAAGUGAGUAGUGGGACACAACCAGUGGCAUAAAUGAUAAAAACCCUUACACGAAAGGUCAAACACCUUGUGUGUAGUAGUGGUUGCCGAGGUGCUAUGGUGGGACAAGGGUGGGGUUGCAGUAAGGGGGCGAAAGCCUUAUGAUGGCUAGAGUGGUUUCUGGUUGGCGACGUUCUCCGAUCUCGGUCUAGUGCGGACAAUUACUUCUAAUGGAGGAUCAAGGUAGGAGCGCGUGGGGAGGAGGGGGGAUAUAGGAGUUGAGGACGAGACUAGAGGGUGGAGUGGUGGACAGUUGCCACAUGAGGGAGAGGAAUUGGAAACAUUUUUCUCCACCCAUGGGCCAGUCAAGUAGGGGGUUAUGGGCCACAGAAAAUAGGGUGUGUACGUGAUCCAAUUUUUGUGUACCCAAAGCACCUAAGAAUAAUUUUGAGGGUUCUAUUGGUGGCUUGGAUGUUGGGGGUGGAGAUGGAACCUAGGCAUUCUGAACUGCGGCUUGGGUAGUGAUAAUGAACUUCAAACUGUAGCCUACUAUAGAUUAAUGUCACUACAACGUUUCAAAGACAACAUGAGACCUGAUGUCGGCCUAGCUACGCCACUUCUCAAAUGGAUAUGUAGAAGCCUUCCAUCAAAAGUUAGUUGUCCAGGCCACUUCCCUAGACUUUGAGUUGGAUCUAAUUCUCGUUCCCGACACAAAAGAGGGUAGACUUCAUCCGAGACACAUGGAUUAUAUUGCUUCUUUCAAAGGCUCUUAGGUUUGGCAUGAUUAGACACCAACCACACAAUCAACGAGUUUUUCAUAUAUAGUUUAAAUAUACAUGUUUAUCGGACAUUUAGUAGCUUAAGAUUGUGUUUGCUUGAGAGCCAAGAACCAAGUUAUAUCUCAACCUUUUCUUAACAAAACUUUAUUACAUUAGAUAGUAAGAUCAUGGGACACAACUAGAUGAGGAGUAACAUAAACAACAAAAGUAAAUGUUAUCUUAACCAAAUAUAAAACUACAAUGGAGUCCCGGGCCUCGAUUCUCUCGCCAAAGGCACAACCAAGGAUAUCGUGAUUGCACCAUAGAAAAUCUCACGUGCAAUAGACAACAACGAGCAACUUAGUCACAAGUGCCUACAAACACCUUUAGAGGAGUAAACGUUGUUGAAUCACCACAACAAUAGACUGUUGUGUACGAUGGAGAUUGGCGACACACCAAGCAAUUUGGUAGGGGUACUGCCCUAUCUAGGCAGGUAGUCAUACCAGCAUCGCCUGACCAGGCUAACGAACUUGCUCAUAGAGGCUCGAAAGAAGAUGAUAAUGCUGCCGACAAAGCCUACAAAGCCACGCCGGCGAAAACAACAAGAAUCAGCCCUUGGCCGUGAUGAUCGAUGGGGACACAAAACUCUCUCCCUUCUCGGCAUCUCACUGUAAAGUGCCACAAAGGUGGGAUUGGGGAUGGAGCCUUUUAAUUUUGAACAACGCCUACAGUAAUGCCGGGGAGAUGCCGCUGGACCCAAAAACCUAAUUUAGAGACCCUGCAUACACACUGGAGAUGUAGACCUUCAUGGAACCCUAGACCCUCCUUUCUUGCAGCGAUGGGAAAAUGAAUAUUAUCCUUACAAACAAGUGUUUCCUUUAAAUCAUCUUAACCUCAUUUUACAUUUGGUGGCUCUUUUGUUUAGAUAAUUAUAUUUGCUGACUAAUCCUAUUAACCUAAAUACUUCCUCCGGAUGGGAAUAUGAGUCGGGCAUGGAUUUUUAGAUUUCAAUUUGACUAUUGAAAUAUGUUUUAUAUGGCAAACAAAAUACAACUUUAGAUUCGUCCUCGACUGAUGUUUCCAAACAUACAUUUUUUUUUGUGACAUAUUGCACAUGUUUUGUCAAUCAAAUUGAGGACCUAAAAAUCCACGUCAGACUUAUAUUCCCAGCCGAAGGAUUAUUGUAUUUCACCCGAAAAAAGAAGAAGAAAGGAUUAUUGUAUUCCCGAGACUAGUCGGCCCAUGGACCAAAUCCACCGGAAACAUACGCGCAAGUAUACAUCCGAGAAAAGUAUACAUGCACAGAGCAUGUGGACUUGUCAAAUGCAAGAUCCAGAAGUGGACUGAAGCUCGAGCACUGGACUACAUCGCUGUUGCUUAGAUGGAGCAAAUGACGUUGUUGCCGUAGACUUUGAAAACAACAAGUCUUUUGUUCUUGCUGCGGUGAGCACGCUAUCCUGUGACCAGUGGAACCCGGACAAGUGGCAAGUCAACAUAUCAGCAGAGCUUAGACUAGCCACAGUGGGAGUAACUUCGGUAGUAACAUCGAGUCCAACUCAGCAAUUUUGCUUAUGUGGCAAUGAGUUAAUGAGGAGAGAUGUAGUACUAGUAACUUAGCUAGUUACUGUAACAUCACAUGUCCCAAUGCAAUAUGAGUCUAUAACGUAAUAAAUGAAGCUUUGCAUGUUACCACACUUAUGUUACUACCCACUAUUGAGGUAGUAACAUAGAGUAGUAACAUGGGCAUGUUACUACUCUAUGUUACUACCCAUUGUGGCUAGUCUUAGGCUGGUCACAAUGGGGAGGAACUUAGGAGUAACAUCACACACUCCAAUACUACUUUGCUUAUGUGGCACAUAUUUAAUGAAGAGAGAGGUGCUUGUGGUAACUAGCUAAGUUACCGGAACAUCACACACUUCAAGAAACAAUGAGUCUAUAACCUAAUAAAUACAUCAUUGCAUGACACUACAUAGAUGUUCCUACCUACUACGAAGGUAAUAACAUAGUCUAGGAAAGUGUGUAAGUUACUUCUUACCCAUUGUGACCAGCCUUAGAGAUCAUUUUAUAGUUACGAUGCUCAAGAGGUACUAGAGUAGUAGUAGUAAGCAGCGCAUAGGUAAUUUAGUAGCAAUGCCCGUAGGCGAAUUAUCAUCGAGCACGUGAGCGAUCGAGCUCCUAGUCAAGAUUCAAGAAGCCACUUGAAUUUCCAACAUGCCAAGAUUCAAGAUUCAAGACACUGACUGCAGUACCAAUAGCAAGUGGGGAACGCUGACGUUCAGUUGGCCAAUGAAGGCAAAGGGUCCUGCCCAGUUCAUGCACGGCUUCUUGGUGGAAAUUUCCUUUCGCUUUCCUCUGGCGUAUUGGCGCCCCAUCGCACUGGCGACCGCACCGCCCCGUCGCUCCUUUUUUUCCUUUAUCUUUCCGUUUUUAACCAGUUUUUUUGUCUCUUUUGAGUUUAUUUCUUGAACGCCGAUAACUGUCACACGUGUGGGCGUUAAGGAAUCUGCCCACAUGUUUUGUGUGGCGCCUAAGAGGACCAGCCCACACGUCUGUGUGUGGGCAAAACAACUAGCGCCCACACGUCUUCUUUUCCCCUCCCGGUCCCUCUUACACGCGUGCGUGUGGGCGAAAUAGAUAACGCCCACACGUCCGGUACGUCAGGCCUCGUACCUCGUGGUCCCACACGCCCCACGUGACACUUUACCGCGCGCCCCGCAGUUGCCAUGGGCCGGACCCUCGUCCAUGUUCGCUUAAGUGCAGUUGCCAUGUCGCUGAACUACGGUUGCCAUGUCGGACAACUACAGUUGCCAUGUUUGCUCAACUGCAGUUGCCAUCUCAGGUCACAGUUUCAGAUUGACAACUACAGCUGUUGCCAUGGGUGGUCUGGUCUACUGCAGUUGCCAUGAUUUGAAAACUUUAGGAGUUGCCACCUACUAACACUAGGCAGUUGCCAUGUAGCGCUACGAAAAAGGCAUGGCAAAAAACAUGUUCGGGUAAAAGAGAGAGUUGCCAUGUGGUCACAAGCACGCUAGGGCAGUUGCCAUUUAAAAAAAAGAGUUGCCAUCUGCUUACGUGCACGCUAGGGCAGUUUGCCAUGUACCAUGCAAAACAUAUGGCAACUGACAUGUUCGGGUAAAAAAAAGAGAGUUGACAUCUGCUUGCAAUCACACUAGGGCGGUUGCCAUGUACACUGCAAAACGCAUGGCAACUGACAGCUUGGGUGUGGGAGAGGAGGCGGACGUGUGGGCGAGAUGGCAAACGCCCACACACCAGCCCUUGUGCGUGACUGAAAACUGGUGUGUGGGCGAACUGCUAAGCGCCCACACACCGGCCCCUCGGUGUGGUAAAACGGAUGUAUGGGCGACCUCUCUCACACACCACACACGCGAGUUGUCCUACGUGGCAUACAAAAUCAGCUAAUUCGUGUCAAGAUUCGUGCAGAAGUUAUUAGACGGUGAUGGAGGCGUGUGGGUGAGUUGGCUAACGCCCACACGUGUGGGCGUUACACUUUUUGUAUUUCUUUUUCUUCUUUUGUUUCUUCUUUUUUUUCAUCGUUAAUUAAAUUUUUUUCUUUGCAUUUUCUUUGUUUCUCUUUUAAAUUUUCCUUUCACUUUUAUUUUUCUGAAUAUACUCUUUCCUGUUUACAUUACUAUUUUUUGGAAUUGUCAUGAUAAAUAUUCGUUAAUAUACGAUGAACAUUUUAUUAAAUACAAGAUGAAUUUUCUGAAAACACGACAUACAUUUUCUUACAUACGAUGGAUCUCUAGCCAAAAAUAAUCAAAAUUCGAUUCUCAAAGAACUUGUGAAAAAUACAGUUUGGAGACCCCUUGAACUAGACCGACAACCCUUGAACUAGAUUGGUUGAAGCAGCAUACAUACAUAUUACAAUUUUGCAUUUUAAAUUUGAAGACUAAAACACGAGCAACAAUCACUCCCACUAACACCGCGGUGUUGCGAAAAACACGAGCAUUCCUCUCCUUCCAAAUUUCCCACGAGAUAAGCAUCAUUAAAGAGCGUGGUAGUUCUCUCUCCUCAAGUCUCAGAUCCGUUUUCAUCACCCUUUGGUAUGUUUCGUGGGGAUCUUUUUUAUUCAGCGCAUAAAUGUUGAUUCGUUCAUGUGUUUAGAAGUAAGAGGUGCAGCAUGCCAGGGUCCUCGAAGGAGUAGUAGAGCAGAGGAUCUUCUUAGCGAUUUGGAUGUACAGAGUUUAUGAUACAAAGACCUAUUUUAUUUUUGUACCGGCUAUUGAAUUUUCUCCUUUCUAUCUCCGAACCCUUUUGAUAUGUUCUUUACUCCUGAUUUCAGCCUUUUAAGGAUUGCGGAGAGCAUGGAUCGCCAUAUGGAAGGAGAUGCCAUCCUUACUGUCGUUGUUUUUGGCAUGUUGCUGCCAUCUUUCUAAUUCUUGCACUGCAGAGACCUUAGUCUAUCCAUGUAUGUCAUGCCUUCUAUUCAAUUUUUUGACUUUUAUGUACACGUGUGCUCUUGCAUUACUUACUAGAUCGUGUUGUAUACGAUGAUCCAUUGUCAGCUAUACAAAUGUUCUAAUUUUAAAACUUUGUCAAGUUCAGUUCAGAUUUAAUUUUACUUCACCUCUUUUUGCAUGGACAAUGUGUGUGGUGUAUAGACGACCACUGUGUGAAAUUCAUAGGCAUUGUGAGGGCAUGGAGAAAGGAUUUGAUUUUGAUUCUUUUUUUCAGGGUUCAGAACUGUUACCUUGCUACACCUACACAUGUGGAAACUUAAACUUGGCAGUCUAAAAUUAAGCAGCAAACUUCAUUGCCGGUCAUCUAAAAAUUCAGUGACAACAGCUGGCACACGAGCUUCAUUUUUUAGUAGAGAUAGUAGAUGAUGCAGAUGACAGUUCUACCUCUUUGACUGAAACAAGAACUUUCUCACCAAGGGCAUACCUACAAGACAGGGGCAUACCUGCAGGACAACAUGAGGUCCUCAGGCACGCAUCACACAUUCACCAAAGAUAUGGAGCUACCAUUUUAGAUUAGUACUAGCAUAUUGGUACAUAGUGUGUGUUUUAGCAUAUUAGUAGUAGCAUACCUGCAGGAGGUCCUAAGUUUGUUCAGUUCUAUACAAAUUUGAGUUGGUAUGUAGUGUUGAGAGGAUCCUAAAAUAUUGUACUACAUAAUCUCUUUCCAGGUUCUUGAAAACCUGCACUCUUCUGUUGAAUUUCGCAUUUUGGUCGAUCUGUACUGCAUCUUUUAUUGUUGUCAGCCUAGAAUUAUAUCGCAUUUUGAUCUUGUACGGGCAGAUUCAUAAUUAUGCCUUCAUACUAAUUUGACUGCACAAGGCUGCAAUAUUAUUUCAUGGUCCACAACAGAACUGAAGGUGCCAAAAUGAAACUUUCUUCUUCUCAUGUAUCAAAGUAUUAACCAACCAAUUUUUUUAGUAUCUAAAUUGUUAAGUUUAGGAUGAUAACAGAAAGGGUUGUCUUGAAGAUCCUUUUAGAUUUGUACUAGGAGGCCUUUGUAUAUGCAGAUAUUCCAGUUUAUUAAUUAAUCUACCAGCGGUGGUUUGGAUUGGCUCAUGACCUUAUGUUGAUGCCCAUUUAUAUCUGAGAACUAAGGGGUCUAUUCUUUUAACCAUGAACCGAUUUAAGUAGCAAGUCCAGUUUUUGUUGGUUAGUUGUAUCAUUGUUCUUCAACACUGAGCACUAAUUGAUAACCAGCCAUGAUCAUCCAUCCAUCGAUUUAGUUUGCUUUUUUUUCUUUUGUUAGUUCUAGCUAAGUGAAAUCUAUCUGAAGCUUUGAACCUUAACAACGCCCGUGAUUUGACUCUUGGUGCUUGUGAAUUCUGAAUGAAGUACAAGCAGCCAAUCUUUCUGAAUGAAUUUGUUGAUGAUUUGCAUGGUUAUUCUUCAUUCUGGGUGCAUGGCUAUUCUUGCGUUUGAGCCUUAGGCAAGCCGCAAUGAAAUCUGAUUGCACUGUUUUGUGAGCCAUUUAAACUGAAAUCAUUCAUCCAUUUUAUUCAGAAAGUUCAUCCCAAUAUUUUGGAUCACUACACAGAAUUUGUUUCAACUUGCCAUGUGUCAGUUCACCAACAGUACCGAGACUAUGCAACUUGGAACAUCAAGUAAGAGCAUAUCCAUGUUUUACUUAUUAUAUUCUUUGAGAAAGCUAUGGGAUUUACAAACUAAAAAUAUGAAUUGUUCAAAAAAAUUUCGAACAAUGUUGUUCUGUUAUGGUUGUAAUUGUUUGAGUGGUAUUUUUUUUACUGUUUAAGCAUAUAUUUAUUUAUUUUGCAUGGCACUUUUGCUAAUAUAAAUUACAAAUGAUAUAUAAUAUUCCAAAAAAUGUUUGUCACCAUAAAAAGGAUUCCAAUUUAAAAAUUAUUCUUGAUUUUUUUAAUACAUCCAAAAAGGAAAUACUCCUUGUAACCUUAUCUCCAGCGUUUCCAAAAUUUAGAUUAAAAAGUUAUAUUUAAUAUUUCGCCCGGUGCAACGCACGGGUAUUUGUACUAGUCUAUAUCUAUCUAUAUCUAUAUCUAUAUCUAUACCUACUAAUAAAGCAAGGUGCGUUUCUCCGAUUUUUUUCAUCCGUUCACCAUCGAAAAGAUUUUUUUUUCUAUUCGAGGUGGUACUAAAGUUUUGUCCGUUCGUCUAUUAGAAAAGGAAAAAUGCCAGAUUACGUACAUGGGCCGCUCGCAGUGUGGCAUAGGAAAGCUAGCCCAGUUAUUUUCAUGUUCAUGUAUGUGUGAAAGUCCUAUUUAUCGCACUGAGCGUUAGAUAGUUGCAAAUUCGCACAGGGAGCCAAGCUGGGCUGGCCCGUUUUCUUUUUUUCUUUUGUGUUAUGUUUCUAUUUUUCUUUUUCGUUUCUUGCUCUUCUUCUAUGGUCUUUUUUCCUUUCAAGUUUUUUUCCAUUUUUUCGGAAAUCCAAAAUUUUGAGAAAAUUUCACAAUCAUAAAAAUUUGACUUUUCAAAGCAAUGUUCAGAGUUAUAAAAUUUAUUACAUUUUUUUUAAUUUGUGUUAUGAUUCUAUUUUUCUUUUUCAUUUCUUUCUCUUCUUAUUUGGUCUUUUUUCCUUUCAAGUUUUUCCCCUUUUUCAUAAAUUCAAAAUUUGGAAAAAAGUUCAUAAUAUCAUAAAAGUUUGACUUUUUAAAAAAUUCUCAGAAUUAUAAAAUUUAUUCCAUUUUGAAAAAUGUUCAGAACAUCAAAUAUUUGUUCCCGUUCCAAAAUAGUUGCAAAUUCGCACAGGGCGUCUGAGCUGGGCUGAACCGUUUUGUUUUUUUGUUCUGUGUUAUGUUUCUAUUUUUUUUCCAUUUCUGUCUAUUUUUCUUUCCUAUUCUUUUGUCCUUUUUUUCACGUUUAUUUUUCUUGCUCCCUUUUUGCGUAAAUUAAAAUUUUCUUAUAAGUUCAUUAUAUAAAAAAAUUAGAUUUUCUAAAAAAUGUUCGGGAUUUUAAAAUAUAUACCGUUUUGCAAAAUGUUAAGAACAUUAAAUAUUGGUUCUCAUUUAAAAAUUGGUUUAGAAUUUUAAAAUAAUGUUCCAUUUUUCUUUGUGUUUUCCAAAGUUGUUUGAGAUUUUCCAAAAAAGUAUUUAAAAAAUGUUCUAAAUACGAAAAAUAUUCUUGUUUUAGUGAAAUGUUCGCAAAUUCAAAAUAAUGUCAAGAAACAUAUUUUCAAAAUUUGUUCUGAAUGUUCAAAAUAUGUUUCAUUUUUAAAAAAUCACAAAUUAAAAACAUGUUCAUGGUAUUAUAAAAGGUUUUUGUUUUCAAAUAAAAUUGUGAAUUUUGAGUGUUUCAUAUUUUGUUGUCUAUUUAUGAAAAUGUAAAGAAUUUCAGAAAAUGUUUGGGAUUUUCAAAAUUAUUCAUGUUUCCAGGAAUGUUCAACAAUUUAUAUAUUUUAAACAGUUCAACUUUUUUUUCCAAUCUGACCUUGGAGUAUGAUCUUAAAGGUUUGAGAUGGCCAUUGGUUGAUAGGACUCGUUUCUUUGAGUGGCUAGCAGCAUGUAGUCGGGUCUUUGAGGACAUGAUUUUGAUCCCUCAACUCAUCAAUUUUUUUGAUUUUUUUCGUGCCUUACUAACACAGGUCGUCUUGGCGCCUACCUGUGUGUGUCCCAUGCGCUAUUUUACGCAACUAGUGUUAUGUAGUAGCCCCCACACAGUUGGCCCAAAAAAAAUUGGUCCGUCGCAUAGGCUGUAUUAUGCCUCAGCUACACUCCCCUACUGGGUCGUUCGAGGGAGCAAUUUUUUUUCCUUGGGCCAAUAAACAAGAAUGUUGGUUUGGCUCGAAUAAAAAUAUUGUAGUCAUGCGAGCGUUAAAAUAAUUAAAGAGAAUAAACCCUAAUAGAGAAGGGACAUUGGUGUUUGGUUAUGCGCUAAAUAUGCUAAUGAAAUGGGAUUUAUGCGCUACAAUUAGUAAUCCACCCGGUUAUGCCAUCGUAAGAGAGAAUGGUCGAAGCAACUGUGCCCCGAAGGUCACCGCAUAGCUACCAAAUGAGAGGCGGACACAACCCCUAGGCAGUGGCGGACCUCAAGGGAAAAAAGGCACGAGUUGGAGCCACACCGACUAACCCCACCACUAUCAAGAUCUCGCGGGACAAACAUGACCCGCGAGAAGACCACAACUCCUCUCUCUAUUGCACCGCUAUGGAGACCAUUUUUGGUGGACACAUUAAUUAUCUCUCCCAUUGCUUCUCCAAAGAAACAUCUAUCCCUAAUCUUUUCCUAAUCCUAAUCCUAAUCCUAAUCCUAAUUCCUAAUUUCCUAUUUCCUAAUUUUUUCUUUCCCUAAUAAUAAAGCACGGAUCGACUUUGUCGGGUUCACCGUCACAAUACGCUUUCUUCUCAUGUUAUAAUACGCUUUCAGUUUGAAUUUAAAACAUAUUCGAGGUGGUACUAAAUUUCUAAUGGUCCAAAAAUCUAUUUAAGAACUUACACUUGGUUGCUGCAUUGGGCCUCGGCGCGCCUAGGCCUCAGCCCAUCAGACCCGUCCGAUCUGAGGAGGCAAAAAAUAGGAGCUGGCGUGGUGGAUCAAACUCCCGACCUGAGAUACUAACACAAAGCCCAAGUCCAUCUGAGUUACAUCAUUGUUGUUAAUAGAAAAGAUUAUUUGUUAACUUAUUAAAUAGUCCCACCUCGCUUGCUUAUACUGCAUCAGAACAACUUAUAUACGUUUAUAAUUUGAUGUCAAUUAGCCUCCUGAAGAAUCAAUUGACAGAAAGAAAAGUCAUAAAAGAGGGAAUCAAUUUCGAUAUGGUCCAGGAAGGAAAGGAAUAAAGAGGGCAUAAAUUCUCUUCUAUGAGAAAAAAGGAAGGAAGGAUAUGGAAAUAUAAUAUGGGCCAAUGGGAGAGACAUGGAAACAAAAAUCUUAGAAUGUGUCACACAAGGAAGGAGAUGGAAAUUAAUAUCUCAAGGACCAAUGAGGCGAGGAACACACAGUGGGCUAUACAUGAAUUGCGUUCCAGGUCGGCCAGUCGCGUGGCCGUGGCCAUGGCGCCGCUGUAGCUCCGGCGACGCAAGGCAGGCAACGGGCAGCGGCGGCGCGAGAUCAUAUUGCGUGGGUCUAGGGACUGUCAAACAUAUGCACAACAGCCGUGCAUAGUUGAUACACCUGCAUGCAAAUUAAAGAAAAUCGAUCCAAUACUAUGGACUCAUGUAAAACGACAACGGCCGUGCAUUAAUUGGUAGACCUGCCUAGAAAAGCAAAGGUAAGUAAAAUUCUCUUUUCGCAAAAAAAGUAAGUAAAAAGGCUAUUCUGAUUUAUAUGUUUCUUGUUAUUAUUUGCUCCCAGUCAACAAUAUGUUUCCUGUGCCGAGGUGACCGGCGGAUCGGCGGUGCCCCAGUUGCAUCAAUGACAUGUUUUACUAUAUACGCCAAAUCAAGGAGGAGGGCCUCACGAUUUUAAGGUGCUCGACAAAGCAUGUGCCGCCUAGCAGAAGUUGGCCACGCUAGACCCGCUGGCACAGUGGCACCCUUCACCAUCGCACGAGGAAGAGGACCCAUUGUUCAGUGUUUACUCUAUAGCGACGCACGAGCGUUAUGCCAUAGUAUGAUCACAAGCACAUCACUUUAGAUUGAUCAUGUUAGUCGUGAAUAGAUGGACAAUAUAAGCAUCAUUGGCGAUGGUGACAUGGAGGAGAAAUGGUAUCAUAAUAGAAUAAGUUGCUAAGCGCAUAUGAGGAUUUGUUUCUUCCGUUGCAACGCACGGGCACAUUUCCUGUUGUCAUUCAUUUCAAAUGAGGGGGGAGGGGGGAUAAGCGGUAACAUGGGGUGCUGUUUUGAAAUAGAUGCCAUGUACCUAUUUUUGUGGCAGGAGGGGGUCAGUCAUGUGAUGUUUCUCUUUCUUCCCGUUGCAACGCACGGGCAUUUUUGCUAGUAAUAAUAAAGCACGGAUUGACUUUGUCGGGUUCAUCGUCACAAUACGCUUUCUUCUUAUGUCAUAAUACGCUUUUACGAUUGUAUAGAUAAGAUCGUAAUAUAAACGAGGUGGUACUAUUCAUGUGAUCAUGGGGCCCGUCACGCACGACGUUAGUUCUGGUCACCUGGUACUACUCAAACACGUAGACACUAGCUAGGAAACAAGACACGCGACGCCCAAACCGAAUCAAACUCAAACACCAACUUGCGACGUCUACGUACACAAGCACAAUUCCAUGGGCAGCCACGCAAGAGAUCACCGAUCGGGGCAUCAUCGGAAGCCACCACAGCCAAGAACAAUUAAGCAAGGAUCGAUGGCGGCACACGAGCAGGAGAAGCAGCAGGACGAUGAUGCCUCGGCACAGAGGUCGCCGUUGCCACACAAAGUCGUCACGGAAAUCCCUGCCUACCCGCCGGCCAAGUCCGCGGGGUGCUUCUGCUGCGUCUCACGUUCGUGGCAGGCCACGCUCUCGUCGCUGCGCUUCUUCGAGCUCCACCUCCGGCGGGCAAACCACAGGCCGUCGCCGCCGGCUGGCCAAAGCUCUUCUUCAGUCCCACGGACGAGCCCUCGGACGACUACUUUUUUUACGCCUGGCAGCCCGGCGGCACGGCGACGAAGCUAAUGCGUAACGACUUGCUGCGCCCCGCCCUCCUCACCAAGACGCUAUGAUAGGUGAUAUGUACAGAACCCGUACUCUAAAAACUAGGAAAACGGUUGAGCCGAACAAAACCUCGUUUGGUUACUAAAAUAAAUCCACGUAUAUAGGAAACUAGGAACUGUACAACCCAGGAUUUCGGGUUUAUAGAAAAACGAGUAUUAUCCAUUUUUCCACAAACGCGAUUGCUAAAUGUGUGAGCGCAACAGUUAUUUCUUCACCCGCUCGUUUCUCAACAACUUUGUUGGCGUUUUGUAUUUUGCUGCGGGGAUCCACUCAUCGAGAGAAUAGGAACAGGCUUAUCCAAACAAGGAAGUGUACGUACCAGAUUUUACACUCUCCCAACCCAAACGUGACUUUCUAUAUACUGGUUAUUUGUAAAAUCACAACUAAAACUGAUUCGGCUAAAAUCCAGCUAAAAACUUGUUUUCUAUAUACCGAUCGCUAAUCCUCCUUAUCCAAACAACGCCUUAGCCCAUCUAGGCAAAAAUAACUGCCAGGCAUCCUAGAAUAAGGAAAAAAAUAUUGCUCUUUUUUGGGAUCAACCCAAGAACCUCCACGUUAUUACGUAGUAAAGGAUGCAACCAGCAGAGCUGCCUUUCGGUUUCUUUUAGAAGACAAAGUUUGCUUAUGUUAAUUGAUAGUACCACCUUGCUACUUUACAUCAAAUCCUACCGAUUUUUAUAUGUCCGCAAGUAGACAAUCAACAAGUCUCUCCGAAAGAAAGAAAAAUGGGGUGAGGUGUGGGUUUAGUUUAUCGUACGAGAUCAGAUGGAUCGAGAGAGAAGGGCAUACAUGAGAUAGCUGGUUGCAGGUGCCAACAAGAAAGAGAUCCGAUCCAAUAAACAGAGAGAGGACGCGUCUACUCAUGGGAUGGGUUCUGUCUAUUUUCCUUUUCUACUUUCGUUUUAUUUCAAACAAAAAUUGGAUUGUUUGAACCAAAAUUCAUUCAAAUGCCUUGUAAAAUUUAUGUUUGCUUAUAUGGAGCACUAAAGAUCCAAAUAAAAUAUUUACAUAGGAGUAUUACAUAUAGUUAAUAUUUCCUGUUCAAAUUCAAACUAAAUUUAAAUUCAAGUAGGUUCAAACUCUAAGUAUGUCAUUUGAAGUAUUCACAAAGUUUAUGAUAUUUCAUAAAGUAAAAGUAUCUCAUUUGAUAGAUUUUUGAUCUACGAUAUAGUUGCAUUCAGGGUUAUAUAAAUCAUACUAUAUGACAUAAAUAUCAUGCAUCUACCUUAAAAUAUACAUUAGUUUUUACCAUGAAUGCAUGAGUCCCUCACUAAAAAAGGAGAGCUUGAUUAUUGUGGCUUGCACGCUGUGUUUUGUCAUUAAGAAAGUGCGUGGACAUUUUUUUAUUCCGUUGCAACGCACGGGCCCUUACGUUUCUUCCCGUGAAUUUAUGCUUUCAGUUUUUUUCUUCAACACGUCUAUAUUUAUUUCUAUACCCAAGGUGGUACUAAUCUAUCUAUAUAUCCCCUGUUGCGUUGUUGUUUUCGUCCGCCCCGUUUAGGUGAUUUUUUCAUAUAUAUGUUGCCCAUUUGGAGUCUUUUCGUUCACAAGCACUCCUGGUCUCUCCGCUCGUGUUUGUUUCCUACACGAGACACCAAUCUCCGCAACCCUGGCUGCCGCCUCUAACCCUCCAAUAAAUACUAGCUCAUGAAAGAGAAGGCAAAAGGUGGAUCCGGCGGUAGAGGCGGACUAGCAGAUAGAGCCAUCGGACGAGAGCAGGCAUACGAUGAGGCAAGUUCCACAGGGUGCUUCGUCCCUCCUGCCGACCGUGAGCGAAAAGGAUGGAAGAGGAGGGCUAGGCGGCAAACCUUCGGAACCAGUUGAGAAGCGAGUCCCAGAGCCCCGUGGUGCUUUCUGACAACGCUCGAGACCGUCCGUCGCCUACGCGCCCGCCUAAUCUAUCGAGGGAAUUAGCUGUUCCCGAUUGGAGAGGAGGAAGAAGGGAACACGAGGACGAGACGACCGAGAUGUCCGUUGUCUAGCAGCAGACGGUGGGUUUAACGAGGACAUCGGCUGUGCUGGUGUGCCGCGUGUGUCCGGUAACUGUGUCCGGCGAGCGUGACGUGCGAUGCGCGCUCAUGUGCACCACUCGGGCGGCAAAGCAUGCUGGCCGGCUGCAUGCGUCUCUGUCGUCAUGUGCGUGACGUGUGUCCAGCGUGCUGGGCUUGGUGUGCGUAAUUAUCUGAUGGUCUGCUCUCUACACAAGCCACGGUCCUUCGGCAUCAAGAACAACAUGCAUCGGGAAGGAAGCAUCCCUGGUUUUUUUUUUGUUCACUUCAGUGCUCUGGUACGCAUCUCUAAUUGCGUGGUUGCAUAGUAGGAGAAGAGGGGUGGGUUGUGACUUGAACAUAUGAUCUGGUUAUCUUGGUGUCAUUUGUGAACUAAGUUGGCUAUAUUUCUUUUAGUUAAAAGAAGCACAGAGUAGAUAUAGAUAAUAAACAUAGGAAGUGACAUGAGGGAGAAUUCAGAGUCAUAGCUUCAGUUCAGGGUAUCGAGCAUAUAUUUUACAAAUUCUUUUUUUAUGGAAUAUAUUACAGAUUCAAUUCAAACCCAGGAAGCAUCAAACAUGUUAAUAUGAAUUCCUCCAAGAAAAGAUAAGUGUCUAUAAUUUUUUCUGAUAAAAUACGUUUUGAUGCGAGUUCCACACAAAAAAAAAAUUCUUAUCUAAAAAAUAUGAGCAGAUUAUGCUUGCUGCAUUAUUAUUUUUGAAUAGAUGCUUACUGCAACUAUCACACUCGAUUGGUUAGCUUGCUGCUGCUAUUACUUCAAAUUUUUUGAUAUUGCUAUUUAUUUCAUGUUUUACUUUUAAAUUUUAGAAUGUACCAAUAGUCAUCUAAAGAAUGAAUUAACAAUAAAAUUACACUCUUUAGUCAAAUCAAAUUACAGGGAAUCAUACCCAUGCAUGUCCUGAUCAACGAUCCAUCCAUUGUCUUAUGGCAUAGUUGCUCGACCUGUCCCAUUCAUAGGAACCGUUGUUUUUUUUCCCGUUGCAACGCACGGGCAUUUGUGCUAUAUAUAAUAUAAUAAUAAAGCACGGAUUGACUUUGUCGGGUUCACCGUCACAAUACGCUUCUUCCCGUGAUUUUACGCUUUUAGUUUGAAUCUAAAACAUAUUCGAGGUGGUACUAUUCCUGUACGUCAAAAUCGUUACGAUCCUGCCGGUACGACAAAGACUUGGUCCUUCUGGCUGUACGCUGGCCCAGCUUGCAACGCAGGGAGGAAAAAAGACUUGGUCCUUCUGGCUGUAAGUUGGCCCAGCUUGCAACGCAGGGAGGAAAAAAGACUUGGUCCUUCUGGCUGUACGUUGGCCCAUCUUUAGUGCAACGCAGGGAGGAAAAAAAUACAUGCUUGUUACGAUCCUGCCGGUACGACAAAGACUUGGUCCUUCUGGCUGUACGCUCGCCUAGCUUGCAACGCAGGGAGGAAAAAAGACUUGGUCCUUCUGGCUGUACGUUGGCCCAUCUCCAGUGCAACGCAGGAAGGAAAAAAGACUUGGUCCUUCUGGCUGUACGUUGGCCCAUCUUCAGUGCAACGCAGGGAGGAAAAAAAUACAUGGUUGCAAUAGGAUUUGAACUCGCAACCUUCCACACAAUACCUCUAGCGCCAGCCAACUGAACUAGGUUGGCCCAUGUUAUUUAUCUUCGCUUGGUUUUCUAAACAAAUAGUACCACCUCGCCCUUUUACAAGGACAACCAUCAAUUUAUAUACAUGUUCAAGUUACCUGUCAUCAAUCAUCCUAAUAAGCCAGCCCGGAAAUUGGUAAUCAGAGGAUGAUGAGGGUGCCCAAAAAAGAAAAUAUUGAAGGAAGGAGGGAAGCAAGGAAGGAUUCUCAAAAAAGAAGGAAGGACAAUAUGGUGGGCAAUUAAACGGGGCAAGGAAGGAAUCAGUACUAUAUGAAAUAAUAAAAAAGGGAUUCCUAAUGCAUGAUUGACAAAUAUGGUGGGCAAUUAAACGGGGCAAUUAAGAAAUAUUCCUUCCCAAGACACGCUUGAAUGCUUGCUGCAUAAUAUAAUAGGAUUCCUAAUGCGUGCUUGUGAAUUAUGAGGGGCAAUUAAGAGAGAUUCCUAAGACACGUUAUGUAUGCUGCAUAAAUAGUAAAGGUGCGUGGGAUAAUUAGGAAAGGGAUUCAUGCAUACUUGCAUUGCACGUUAUGUAAACAGGAUUCAGACUAAUUAAGUGGCUGGCAGAUUUUUUGUGCUAGCUGAUUACAAUUAUUACUUCAAUGGCUUCUAUUUGAUGUUACUAAAACAUACUCUCAACCUCUUUCUCUACACCAUCUUAUGCAUGCAAUGACCACCACAGCUAUGUUCUCUACUCUAUCUCAUUUGAGCAUGCAACUUACACGACGAAACAUCACAUUCCAACAAGAGGCUGCAUUAAUGAAUGCGAAGAAGCUCGCUGCCAAGGCUAUACAUGAUCGUCCAAUAGAGGCGGGAAUGAGGACAAUGGGGCUUAGGAGAUGUUGAUAACAGACUGGGACAAAGAGACGAUGAAGGACGGAAAUAAGUCGGAGGAAUUUUAUUUUCAGAGACAGAUAACAACGUCUUCCGUUGCAACGCACAGGCACUUGUGCUAUCUUUCCCUAAUAAUAAAGCAUGGAUUGACUCCGUGGGUUCACCGUCACAAUACGCUUCUUCCCGUGAAUUUACGCUUUCAGUUUUUUUUCUUCAACACGUCUAUAUUUAUUUUCUAUAUCCAAGGUGGUACUAAUCUAUCUAUAUAUACACGAGACACCAAUCUCCAUAACCCUGGCUGCCGCCUCUAACCCUUCAAUAAAUACUGGCUCAUGAAAGAGAAGGCAAAAGGUGGGUCCGGCGGUAGAGGCGGACUAGCAGAUGGAGCCAUCGGACGAGAGGAGGCAUACGAUGAGGCAAAUUCCACAGGGUGCUUCGUCCCUCCUGCCGACCGUGAGCGAAAAGGAUGGAAGAGGAGGGCUAGGCGGCAAACCUUCGGAACCAGUUGAGAAGCGAGUCCCAGAGCCCCGUGGCGCUUUCUGGCAACGCUCGAGACCGUCCGUCGCCUACACGCCCGCCUAAUCUAUCGAGGGAAUUAGCAGUUCCCGACUGGAGAGGAGGAAGAAGGGAACACGAGGACGAGACGACCGAGACGUCCGUUGUCUAGCAGCAUACGGUGGGUUUGACGAGGACGGCGGGUGUGCCGCGUGCGUCCGGUAACGGUGUCCGGCGAGCAUGACGUGCGAUGCGCGCUCAUGUGCACCACUCGGGCGGCAAAGCAUGCUGGCCGGCUGCAUGCGUCUCCGUCGUCAUGUGUGUGGCGUGUGUCCAGCGUGCUGGGCUUGGUGUGCGUAAUUAUUUGAUGGUCUGCUCUCUACACAAGCCACGCUCCUUCGGCAUCAAGAACAACAUGAAUCAGGAAGGACGCAUCCUUAGAUAUUUUUUUGUUCGCUUCAGUGCUCUGGUACGCAUCUGGGCUGUGACUUGAACAUAUGAUCUGGUCAUCUUGGUGUCAUUUGUGAACUAAAUUGGCUAUAUUUUUUUGAAUUAAAAGAAGCACGGAGUAGAUAUAGAUAAUUAACAUAGGAAGUAUCAUGAGGGAGAAUUCAGAGUCAUGGCUUCAGUUCAGGGUAUCGAGCAUAUAUUUUACAAAUUCUUUUUUUUAUUGGAAUAUAUUUACAGAUUCAAUUCAAACCCAGGAAGCAUCAAACAUGUUAAUAUGAAUUCCUUCAAGAAAAGAUAAGUGUCUAUAAUAUUUUUCUGAUAAAAUACGUUUUGAUGCGAGUUUCACACAAAAAAAAAUUUCUUAACUAAAAAAUAUGAGCAGAUUAUGCUUGCUGCACUAUUAUUUUUGAAUAGAUGCUUACUGCAACUAUCACACUCGAUUGGUUAGCUCGCUGCUGCUAUUACUUCAGAUUUGUUGAUAUUGCUAUUUACUUCAUAUUCUACUUCUAAAGAAUGAAUUAUUAAUAAAGUUAUGCUCUUCAGUCAAAUCUAUUUACUGGGAAUCAUACCCAUGCAUGUCCUGAUCAACGAUCCAUCCAUUGUCUUAUGGCAUAGUUGCUCGACCUGGCCCAUUCAUAGGAACAGUUAUUUUUUUCCCGUUGCAUCGCACGGGCAUUUGUGCUAGUCUCUCCCUAAUAAUAAAGCAAGGAUUGACUUUGUCGGGUUCACCGUCACAAUACGCUUUUUCCCGUGAUGAAUUUACGCUUUCAGUUUUUUUAACACGUCCAUAUUUUUUCCAAAAUCCAAGAUGGUACUAAUCUAUUUAUCUUUCCCUCUUUUUUUUUCACUUCUUCCGUACAUGAUUUUUUCUUGGGCCCCUUAAUAUUUUUCGUCGAUGAGAUAGCAGCAAAAAUUAGUUGCUGUCUUUGGGAUUUGAACUCUAGACCUUCUUGGCUUUUCCAAUUACCACAACCAGCUAAUCUAGCUAUCAAUUCUGUUAGGUAACAUGAUGUACGUAAUCUUAUGGGCCAGAGUUGAUGGAGACUAGGACCAGCGUUCUAUCGACUGGGGGAGCAGCCAGUGUCGAUCAACAUAUUAGUUCGCCUUUUCUCAACAAAAAAAACAGCGUUCGUCUACGCUAAAAAAAACAGAUUCGUUCGUCUGGUUGCAAAAGUUUGAUCAGUCGAUCGUUCAUCCAUCAAAUAAUCCCACCUCGCUUCAUUACAUCGAAUCGCACCAGUUUAUAUACAAGUUGCUUAGAAAAUCAACAAGCCAGCUCCAAAAUCAAAUAGGCAAAGGGCAAACAGAGGGAUUGGUAGCACGAGGGUGAGCUUGGUUGGGCGCGCGGAGGCUGGGUGAUGCACCGAGGCGGGAUGUCCUACUGGCUACCGCAGCCGAGGGAUAGGGACGAGAGGAAUUGUGGGGAUCGGCGCGCGGCUGCCCAGACAAGGCCGGGCGGGCCGGCAGCCAGAGGAACAGAUCCAUUGGUGGUGCAGUCUGGAUGGAGAAGAGGCGCAGCGCUGGGUGGCCGGCCUCACGAGGAGGAACAUGGAUGGAGGCUCGCUGGACCCGGAUAGAUUCUUCUCUGUGGUCAAAUCAGUGAUCUGCUCUCUGUGCAAUGAGAAGAGAUGCAUGUACUUCUAAUAUUUGUAUGUAAGUUUCAAACGGCUGUUGGAAGAUGAUAGGUGUGUAAGUCAUGUAUCCUAAUUCCUAAUGAGAAAGAUAUGUGUCGUGAUGUUAUUAUGCAAUAUAUGUGCCGAGCGCCUGUGCUCUCACCAUUCCCAGCUAAAUGCAACAUGGUCGGAGCAUGUAAAUCAAUCAGAGCACAGGGAGCCAUCUCAUUAUCUUUCCGUAAAGAAAAACUAUGGUGGACUAACUGAUCUUUAAAUCAGUUUAUGAAAGAGCCCAAUGCAAAAAAAUGCAUGUUGGGUCUUUGAAACAGUUCAAAUCAUUUCGAUAAUAAUCCGUUUGAUCUGUUUUACCGAGAAGGUCUACGGUUCGAAUCCGUAUAGCCCUAAUAUGCCCUUUUUUAGAUUUUAGGAUCUCUAUCCUAUGUUUUCUUUAGUUUAGUAUAGUUUUCAUUUUCUCAUUAGUAUUUGUUUAUAGACUGGAUAGGCGCCUGCGACAUAGAAUAGAGAUAAAAGCAUUACCAAAGGCUCAUUCAUCGAAAAUCAAAAUCAUACAGACAGGAAAAGAAAAACGAAUUUCUAUCAAAUCAAUAGAAGAAAGGAUCCUUUCCCUGAUUUGAAUCCCGUCCUCCUUCAAAUAGGAUAUCUCUAGACUUCCCUAUAAUAACUGCAAUGAUUUUAUCCAUUUUGCGAAUUCCUACUUUAGUUUUAAGUAUAUUUAUUACUUUGUUUAUAGAUACAUUAUGUAAAUUGGUCAACUUUAAAUAGAAAAAAUAAAGUAAAGAGUAAAUAAGAAAACAGAAUAUUCUGUCUCAUAGUUCUGAAAUAGAGUUCUUUAUUUUUAUUUUAUAGUAUUACUUCUCAUUAAUUAUACUGCAUAGAUUAGUCCUACUAUCUUAAUUAGGUUCUAAUUUAGUAGUAUUCUCAUUUUUAUUUAAUAGUCUCUUAUUAUUUUAUUAUUAAAUAUUAAAUAAAGGAUAGAGCUAUUCUUUUUUCUAGAGAUUCUAGAGAAAGCGAGACAAAGUGAAACGAGAAAGUUUUCUUUAUAUAAGAAUUAGAUCUACAUACACCAUAUCUAAAUAGAAUGGAAAUCCAAAAGAAAGGGAGUUGGGAUUCCAUUGGAUGAAUCUUUAAAGAAGAUGCAGCACAGAGGAAACAAAGGCUAAACUAAGCGCUUUUGUUUGAACAAAAAAGAUUCUUGUUUCACCGAGGAAAAGAGAGAAGUUCUGGAUAAAUUGACAAUGCUGAAUUGAAUUGACUAAUUUAAGUUCAGCCUAUUCCACAUUAAUGGGAGUACAUUAUGUUUCUGCUUCACGAAUAUGAUAUUUUUUGGACAUUUCUAAUAAUAGCAAGCCUUAUUCCUAUUUUGGCAUUUUCGAUUUCAGGACUUUUAGCCCCGGUUAGUGAAGGACCAGAGAAGCUUUCUAGUUAUGAAUCGGGUAUAGAACCCAUGGGAGGGGCUUGGGUACAAUUCCGAAUACGCUAUUAUAUGUUUGCGCUCGUUUUUGUUGUUUUUGAUGUGGAAACCUUCUUUCUAGAGAUUCUAGAGAAAGCGAGACAAAGUGAAACGAGAAAGUUUUCUUUAUAUAAGAAUUAGAUCUACAUACACCAUAUCUAAAUAGAAUGGAAAUCCAAAAGAAAGGGAGUUGGGAUUCCAUUGGAUGAAUCUUUAAAGAAGAUGCAGCACAGAGGAAACAAAGGCUAAACUAAGCGCUUUUGUUUGAACAAAAAAGAUUCUUGUUUCACCGAGGAAAAGAGAGAAGUUCUGGAUAAAUUGACAAUGCUGAAUUGAAUUGACUAAUUUAAGUUCCGCCUAUUCCACAUUAAUGGGAGUACAUUAUGUUUCUGCUUCACGAAUAUGAUAUUUUUUGGACAUUUCUAAUAAUAGCAAGCCUUAUUCCUAUUUUGGAUUUCCAUUCUAUUUAGAUAUGGUGUAUGUAGAUCUAAUUCUUAUAUAAAGAAAACUUUCUCGUUUCACUUUGUCUCGCUUUCUCUAGAAUCUCUAGAAAAAAGAAUAGCUCUAUCCUUUAUUUAAUAUUUAAUAAUAAAAUAAUAAGAGACUAUUAAAUAAAAAUGAGAAUACUACUAAAUUAGAACCUAAUUAAGAUAGUAGGACUAAUCUAUGCAGUAGAAUUAAUGAGAAGUAAUACUAUAAAAUAAAAAUAAAGAACUCUAUUUCAGAACUAUGAGACAGAAUAUUCUGUUUUCUUAUUUAAUCUUUACUUUAUUUUUUCUAUUUAAAGUUGAUCAAUUUACAUAAUGUAUCUAUAAACAAAGUAAUAAAUAUACUUAAAACAAAGUAGGAAUUCGCAAAAUGGAUAAAAUCAUUGCAGUUAUUAUAGGGAAGUCUAGAGAUAUCCUAUUUGAAGGAGGACGGGAUUCAAAUCAGGGAAAGGAUCCUUUCUUCUAUUGAUUUGAUAGAAAUUCGUUUUUCUUUUCCUGUCUGUAUGAUUUUGAUUUUCGAUGAAUGAGCCUUUUGUAAUGCUUUUAUCUCUAUUCUAUGUCGCAGGCGCUUAUCCAGUCUAUAAACAAAUACUAAUGAGAAAAUGAAAACUAUACUAAACUAAAGAAAAAGUAUGGUGGACUAACUGAUCUUUAAAUCAGUUUAUGAAAGAGCCCAAUGCAAAAAAAUGCAUGUUGGGUCUUUGAAACAGUUCAAAUCAUUUCGAUAAUAAUCCGUUUGAUCUGUUUUACCGAGAAGGUCUACGGUUCGAAUCCGUAUAGCCCUAAUAUGCCCUUUUUUAGAUUUUAGGAUCUCUAUCCUAUGUUUUCUUUAGUUUAGUAUAGUUUUCAUUUUCUCAUUAGUAUUUGUUUAUAGACUGGAUAAGCGCGUGCGACAUAGAAUAGAGAUAAAAGCAUUACAAAAGGCUCAUUCAUCGAAAAUCAAAAUCAUACAGACAGGAAAAGAAAAACGAAUUUCUAUCAAAUCAAUAGAAGAAAGGAUCCUUUCCCUGAUUUGAAUCCCGUCCUCCUUCAAAUAGGAUAUCUCUAGACUUCCCUAUAAUAACUGCAAUGAUUUUAUCCAUUUUGCGAAUUCCUACUUUGUUUUAAGUAUAUUUAUUACUUUGUUUAUAGAUACAUUAUGUAAAUUGAUAAACUUUAAAUAGAAAAAAUAAAGUAAAGAGUAAAUAAGAAAACAGAAUAUUCUGUCUCAUAGUUCUGAAAUAGAGUUCUUUAUUUUUAUUUUAUAGUAUUACUUCUCAUUAAUUAUACUGCAUAGAUUAGUCCUACUAUCUUAAUUAGGUUCUAAUUUAGUAGUAUUCUCAUUUUUAUUUAAUAGUCUCUUAUUAUUUUAUUAUUAAAUAUUAAAUAAAGGAUAGAGCUAUUCUUUUUUCUAGAGAUUCUAGAGAAAGCAAGACAAAGUGAAACGAGAAAGUUUUCUUUAUAUAAGAAUUAGAUCUACAUACACCAUAUCUAAAUAGAAUGGAAAUCCAAAAGAAAGGGAGUUGGGAUUCCAUUGGAUGAAUCUUUAAAGAAGAUGCA